GCCACUGUUGCUGGCUACUUCAUCCCCAAAGGUAGUCACGUCUUGCUCAGUCGUUACGGCCUAGGCCGGAACCCCAAGGUUUGGGAUGACCCACUGAAGUUCAACCCUGAGCGCCAUUUGAAGGAUGGUUCCAUGUGCGUUGAUCUGACAGAGACAGACCUGAGGUUAAUUUCUUUCAGCACAGGAAGGCGCGGGUGCAUGGGCGUGGCUCUUGGGACUGCAAUGACCGUGAUGCUGUUGGCAAGGCUGCUCCAAGGUGUCACUUGGAGGGUUCCACCGAAUGAGGCAAACAUCGAUCUCUCUGAGGCAAAAGAUGAUCUCUUCAUGGCCAAACCUUUGCAUGCACUUGGUCAACCUCGAUUGCCUGCUCAUCUUUAUCCAGCUAAUUAAUCAGUCAUGGAAAAGCUUCAGUUAUGAAUAAAGUUGUCAUUGCUUCUUUAGAAAAUGAAUAAACCUGUAAUUAAUUUGAAUAUUUCUUGUUAUGAUGCUCUUUUUAUGAAUGUUGAUUUCAAUUUCUCAAUGUGUGCUUUGUGACUUUUGAAUUACAUUACUAGCUGCUGAAGUAUUUGGAAAAUGCCCUUUAAUUGUUUACUAGUGAUUUAUUUUUAUUUUUGAUAAUUCAAAUAAACUUUGUACUGUAAUUAAUUUAUAUUGAAUAGUAUGUAGUUUUAUUAUUAUUAUUUUGAAAAUCAAAUUUAACAUAUAUAUAUUUAUAAUUGAAAUAAAUACACAAUGCAAAUUUGAUUUGUUUCAAUACAGUGCUAGGUUAUUGGGUUUGACGAUGGAAAUUUGAUUUAAGGGGAGAGAUUAAUGGGAUUUAAGGAUGGGUUUAAUUUGAUUUGGGGAAUGACCCUUCUUUCGUUUUUUGUUUUCUUGGGUUGUUGAUAGUCUGGUAAUUUUGAGUUUUGACUUUAAACAAACAUAGUUAUUUUAUCAUUAUUCAAAUUAGAAAUAUAUAUAUUUAAUUAAAAUAAUAAAUUUGAUGUAAAAGAUGGGUUAAAUGUUUAAAAUAUAUAUAAAAAAAUAUUAUCAUAAGAUAAUUUGAUCAACGUCCAUGAUAGAUUUUCAUAUAAAAUAUGAUCUAAUACAUAUAAAAAUUCAUUAGGCAUGGAUUUGGAUCAUACGAAGGUGAGAAACUCUCUCUUACAUCGCAAAUUUCAAACCUCCUGUUAGUGGUAUAUGAAAGAAAAAAAAUUCAAUAGUUAUCACAUAAGAUUAAUGAUCCAAUCUCUAUGAUUUUUUGUAGUAGUUUUAUUUCAAAGAAAUAGACAAUUAAAUAAAUGAUCUUCUAUUGAAACAAAUUUUGAAAAAAAAGGGUGUUUCUUUUAAUAUAAAAAUAAGUUAUCAAAGUUUUACCAUUAAUUGUCAUAUAAAACUAAUAACUUGGUCUUUAUUUUUUUUUAUAAUAAUUUCCUUAGAAACAAGGAGAAUUUGAAUAAAAGACUUACUAUCGAGACAAAUUUCGAGAAAAUAAAUGUAAUAAUGAGAAAAUAAAAGAAGUGUAUUAAGGCGGUUUUAGUAUAAUCAUGGUUUCGAGAAAAUAAUAAAAAUACAUUUUCAAUCUUCGUGAUCAAUAUACCAGAUUUGUUAGGUUUGAUAAUCUAAUUGAUGCUAGGAGGGCUUGUUGUUUUUUUUAAUGGAGGAAGGGGUAUUCGAACCCUUGCUUUCUAGGUAAAAGAUUAUGCAUCAACUAAUAAGCCAAAUACUCAGGUACAAGAGGCUUGCUUGAUGAUGAACGAAGUCUGGAUUAUCAACCAAAAACUAAGUGUCAUUUUAGCCCAAUAUGGUGACAAAGAUACCUAUUGGAGGAGAAGACAACCAAUGAUGAUGGGAAGAAUACCCCAAAUGGAAGGAACCAACGAUCAAACCAUGGAACAAACUUCUGAUGAGCGAAGAGGAGGACAAGGACAAUCCUACUCUCAAGUAAUAAGAAGAGUAAAGGAAACCCAAGAGUAGUCAAUUUCAAAGAAUGGAAAAAAAGGACAAGAUGUAGGGAGAUAUUGAGUGUGGAGUAAUUAAAUCAUUUGAAUUGCCUUGAAAAAAAAUGUUAUAUAAGACUAAUUAUUUGGUCGGGUGAUUUUCUACAGUUGUUUUUUUCCAAGGAAAUGAGGACUUUAAUAAAUGACCUACUAUUGAGACAAGUUUCUAAUAUGAAAGUGCUACAAUAAAUUGCCAAAUAAGAGUAAUUCCCAAGUCGUUUGCUUGAUUUUUUGUAACUAUUUCCUUUCUAGACAAAGGAAAUUUUAACAAAUGCCCUAUGAUUGAGCUAACUUUUGAGAAAAAGAAAUUCCUUUAAAUAUAACAAUAAGUUAUCAAAGUUUUACAAGUAAUUGUCAUAUAAGACUAAUUAUUCAGUCCAGAUGGUUUUUUGUAACUGUUUUCUUUUGAUAAAUUGGAGACAUAAAUAAAAGACCUACUGUUAAGAUAAAUUCUGAGAAAAUGAAAUUUUUUUUAGUAUUAUAAUAUGAGGGUUCUUCCAUUAACUGCAAUACACAACUAAUUAACCAGUUUGUAACAUUUUUUUGUAAUUGUUUCCUUCUAAGAAAAUGGGGAUUGGAAUAAAUGACCAACUUUUGAGACAAAUUUCGAGAAAAAGAAGUUCCUUUUAAUAUAACAAUAAGUUAUCAAAGUUCUAACCUUGAUGGCUAAGACUUAAUACUCAUUAUAUAAGAUUUUUUUGUAAUAGUUUUUCUAUUUAUUUUACAUUGAAUUUAUGUCAUACAUAUGUACGUGUAUAUAUAUAUGUAUAGAUGUAUGUAUAUAUAUAUAUAUGUAAAUGUAUGUGUGUGUGUGUUGAUGUCAAAGUUCUACCUUCAAAUGCCAUGUAAGACAAAUUACUUGCUGGUCGGUAUGAUUUUUUAUAGUCGUUUCCUUCCGAGAAAAUGAGGACUUAAACUAUUGAGACAAAUUCCAUAAAAAAGGAAUUCCUUUUGAUUAAACAAUAAAUUAUUAAAGUUUUAAAAUUAGUUAUCGUCUAAGACUUUUUUUUUUGUUCGCUCAAACAAUAUAUGGUUUCAUUAAAUAAGAGUUACUACAGCUCACACAUUCCAGCUACCUAGAAUGGUACAAAAGAAACACCCACUGAAUUUCCCUCAUUUAAAGAGGAUAACAACAUCAAACAGAUUCCAUAUUCCCUGUAGUUAAUAGCUUGACAGCAACCUAAUAUUACAUAAAAAAUCAUAACAGAAAUACUAUCAAUAUUGGAAACAAAAGAAAAUCAUACACUUCGUAGUUGUAUUAACCCAACAACAUAAACCUUCAUCUCCUGCCAUCUCCCACUAGCCACAGCUUCUCCUACCAUAUAUUAGCAUUGAAUCAGAUUCUACCACCAAGGAUUUCCUCCCACACUACACUUCCUUUUUCUUACCUCCCCCUACACAGUACUGACCUUUUUUAUGCCUUGGCUCUUGCCGUUGCCUCCUUAGCCAUCUCCACUAGCAGCACGUCCUUUAUUUCUUUUGCACAUGAAGCCUAUUCUUUGGCCUAUACUGACCAUUUUUCAUUUCUUCUGGGCUUAUCCUUAUAUUACUCUCCUUUCAUGGGCCUACAUUUUUCUCAUCAUUAUUUUCCCCCUUUAUCCCCAAACUCUCUUCAUCUUUCUUCUUCUCAACCGGUUUCAAUCUUUCUCCCUCUAACACUAAUUAAUUACUUGGCCUAUAUGAUUUUUUGUAACCGCUUCUUUUGGAAAAAUUGAGUACUUGAAUAAGUGACCUACUGUUAAGACGAAUUAUGAGAAAAAGAAAUUUUUUUUAGUAUUACAAUAAAUUUGAGAGUUUUUACCAUUAAUUGCAAUACAAAACUAAUAAACCAGUCCGUAUGAUUUUUCGUAACUAUUUCCUUCCAAGAAAAUGGGGACUUGAAUAAAUGAUCUACUAUUGAGACAAAUUUCAAGAAAAAGGAAUUCCUUUUAAUAAAACAAUUAGUUAUCAAAGUCCUAACAUUUAUUGCAAAGACUAAAAGCUUGGUAUAUAUGAUUUUUUGUAAUAGUUUUUUUAUGAAGAAAAUGAAGCUUAGAUGAAUGACCUACUAUUAAGACAAAUUUCAAGAAAAAGAAAUUUCUUUCAGUAUAACAAUAAGUUAUUGUUGAGAAAAGAAAUAAGUUAUUAAAGUUUUAUUGUCAAUUACUAUUAAUGACUAAUUAUAAAUCAGUCUGCAUGAUUUUUUAUUAGAUUUAUGUCAAUUAUAUAUAUAUAUAUGUAUAUAUAUAAAUAUGUGUGUGUAGAGAUGUCAAUAAUUACCUUAUAUAUAUAUAUAUAUAUGAUUUUUUUUGUAAUAGUUUUUUUCCGUAGAAAAUGAAACAUAUAUAAUUGACCUAGUAUUAAGUGUGUGUAGACAUGUCAAUUCUUUUCUACUUUUGUAAAAAUGUAUUAUGAAUCCAAUGUAUUGUGUAGAGAUGUCAUUACACAGAUAUUUGGUGCAUCCAAUGUAAGUUUUCUCUGAGUUGAGCUGUAUAUGUUUACAUUGUCUGCUAAUUAUAAUGCAAAAAGGAUACUUAAGGAAAAUUUUACAUCUGUUUUCAUCAAUGCAGGAUCCCAUAAAAUACACUUUGACAGAUGCAAAAUUUGUAAGAAACAAUUCUUCGUAUGAUGAAAAUCUUGAAAAGGUAAAUGUACAUGUUGUAAAGUUUGUCCUACUACUUUCAAAUUGAGAGCAACUAAUGUCUAAAUAAGGUAUACAUGAUUGAUUACCUAGAAGAGAAAUUAAUGAAAAGAGACAUUUUGGAUUUUAUAAACCUGGUUCCCCUUGCUUUCUUAUCAUUCCAAACCUCACAUUCUAAGGAGAAGUUGAGAAAAAUCUUCCAAUGUCACCCAGUUAGGGCUAUUCUUUCCCUAGAUACUAUCAGCUUUCUCUAAACCAGAAGGAAGGCUUGCUCUCAGCCAUGGAAAAUACUUCCUCAGAAAAUGUUACCUUUUCAUUGUUGACAGGGGCUUGCCUGAUUUUUGCUACCUCUAGACUUGUUUCUUUUCAUUCAACCCUUCUCUUCAUGCUUCUCGUUUUAUUCCUUUUUGUUGUCAAAGCAAAGGGCAAAGCCAGCAAGAGAAAGAGCAACCAAGCACCUUUUCCUCCAGGCCCAACUCCCUGGCCAAUCAUUGGAAACCCUCCAGAGAUAUGGAGAAAGAGACCAGCCUUUCGGUGGAUUCAUGGCCUUAUGAAAGAACACCACACGGAUAUUCUUUGUGCCCCCCUUGCAAACUCUCAUGUCGUCGCUGUCACUUCGCCUGUCAUUGCUCCAGAGUUCUUGAAGAAAAAUGAUUCAGUUUUUGCAUCAAGGCCUGUUACGAUGGCAACUGAGUACUCCAGCCGAAGGUUCUUGACAAUAGCUGUUGUUCCGUGGGGAGAUCAAUGGAAGAAAAUGAGAAAGGUUGUGACCCUGGUUGAGAUCAUUUGAUUUGGAGGGCCAUGAGAAGACUGUCUGUAAGGCUAUGAAAAUUGUAAGUGAGUACCAGGAUCCCUUGAUUGACGAGAGGGUCCAAGAGUGGAGAGAAGGCAAGAGGACGGAGCCUGCAGACCUCCUUGAUGCCUUCAUUUUAGCCAAGGAUUCGAAUGGGAAGCCAUCUCUUUCAAUCGAAGAGAUUAAAGCCCAAUGUGCAGUGAGAUAAUCUAACCGUAGAUUCCUUUUCUGCCAUGUGUUUUUAGUCUAGUCAUAACAAAAAUUAAUUUGAUUAGUUCUAGUAAUAGUAACAAUAGUUAUCAUCAAAUUUGUGUUUGAUAUGUCUAUGAAUAUUUUGUUUAUGUAGGAGUUAAUGCUUGCAACCGUAGACAAUCCUUCAAAUGCUGUGGAAUGGGCAAUGGCAGAAAUGAUCAACCAACUUGAAACUCUCCUGAAAGCAGUCGAGGAGAUAGAUUCUUUGGUCGGAAAAGAGAGGCUGGUUCUAGAAGCUGACAUUUCCAAACUCAACUAUGUCAAAGCUUGUGCAAGAGAAGGCUUUCGUCUUCACCCAAUUGCACCCUUUAACCUACCCCAUGUCUCAACCGCCGACGCCACUGUUGCUGGCUACUUCAUCCCCAAAGGUAGUCACGUCUUGCUCAGUCUUUACGGACUAGGCCAGAACCCCAGGGUUUGGGAUGACCCAUUGAAGUUCAACCCUGAGCGCCAUUUGAAGGUUGGUUCCAUGCGCGUUGAUCUGACAGAGACAGACCUGAGGUUCAUUUCUUUCAGCACAGGGAGACGCGGGUGCAUGGGCGUGGCUCUUGGGACUGCAAUUACCAUGAUGCUAUUGGCAAGGCUGCUUCAAGGUUUCACUUGGAGGGUUCCACCGAAUGAGGCAAACAUCGAUCUCUCUGAUAUUAUUUAGGUAGUACGAUCACACAUCUUACAAAUACAUGAUACAUCAAUUCUCAUAACCCAGCACAGUCACAAUGGAAAAGAGCAACGUAAGACUCUCCUUCCCUUAACAUCUGGAACUGUUCCAACUUGUUGCGGCCCAAUUCCAACUCUUUUAAACAUGUCAUUCCAAAACAACAAAACGAAAGCUCACCAUAUAUAUCAAGACCCAUGACGCCAAACCUACUGCCAUUUAUCAUAUCCAUACCUGAAAAGGGGUAAUUGAUCUACUUAUUAAAAAUCAUCAACUAUCGAUUUUAAUUAUAAUUUUUUAAUUUUUUAUUGAUUCACGGUAAAAAAAAUGAUAAAUGAGUCAAAGUAUUAAAAUAAGGUGGCAAAAAUUCAUAAAUACUGUUCCUAUUCCCUCAAAAAAUAAAUACUUUCUGAAAAUUCAAAUCAAUUGAAUAUUUGUACUGGGGAAAAAGUUCAAUCGCUAUCCAAAUAACUUUAAUUAACUGGUAUGGGAAAUUCAAGAUAGGUGACAUAUGAGUAGGAUCAAGGACAUUUUUAGGCAGAAAUUCGAAUACUCUAUAUUUUUAGUAAAUUUGGAAGCACUAAGUUUGCCCCUUUUUUUUGACAAUGCAUCCAGUUUAAUUGAAAAGGAGGCAGAUCAUCUAAAUUAUUGAUGCUUCCUUGGUCUCUAAUUUUAUUUUUACCUUUUUUGUAUCAUCAUGUACUUCUUCCAUCUCAAAUUGAAUGUUUGCUUUUUUUUUCUUUUUUUGGAUAAAUGAUCUAUUUAGUCACUUAAUUUCAACAUAAUUUGUUAAGAUAGUGGGAAAAUGUAUAUGGAGACUAUAUAUACAUGCAUAUGUACAUAUAUAUAAUCGUUUUGACAUCUUUGGAUAGUUAUUUUAGAGAAAUUGUUUAAUAAGAGUAUUAUAAGUUGUUAAAAAUCGUAACUCAAAAUCUUGAAAAAAUUGGAUUGAAUUUUUUAAUUGAUUAGAAGAAAAUAUUUGGUUGACAAAGAAACUAGGUUUAUCUUUUCAAGAUGAGAAGGGUGAUGUAAUUAGGAGAUUGAUUGAGCUAGAGGAGAUCUAGUUGGUUUCUAGGGGAAGGAGGCACUAAGGACCGGGGGAGUGGGUGCUUCUGUUAAGAAGUAGGCUUUUAAGUGGAGGUAGGAUGUUAUGUUAUUGGCUGCAAGCUUUAUUGUUCAUUUCUUGGCCCUAGCCUAUUACUCACAAAUUGACUGCAGUUUUUAUGCUUACUUAUUUAAAGGAUUGAAUUAAUCUCCCUCACGUCAAGUUGAAGUUAACCUCCUUGAUGUAAAGUUGAGAGUUCCCAGUAAAGUUAUCUUUGUUGCAAUGUCUUCUAACACUUUUUCCAAGGAAGAUUUGUUGAGAAAAGCUUUGGCUCUAGCUCUACAAUCAUUGAGGCAUUCAAGUUUGAAUCAAAUACUACAAGCGUCAUCGAAAUCCUGUAAUAUCAGUUGCAAUUUCUUUGGUGAAGUAUCCAUUAACGGAGCAUGGAAAAUCAUUAAAGCUCUACCCAACACCUCCAUCAUUAAACAAUUGACAUCCAUGUUCUUCAAAAAAGAGGAACUCCAAAAUUCCCCCUCUAUACUAAAAAUAUGCUUUAAGUGUUUCACGUACUAUGAUGAAAUUUAAAAACCAUGGAAGUCGACUUUCCUACCACUUUGUUCAAUACAUGCUACUUGAGUACUAGAAACACUAUUAGCAUCUUUGUGUCUUGGCAUUGAGGAGGAAGAAGCACAAGAAUUAAUCAGAGUAACCCUCGCAUUAGCAGUAACGACUCCAACAUCAUGACCAACCUUAAUAUUCGAAGUGCUCCGACAUUAUCGAUGACAACAUCAAUAGCUCCUGCAUUAACUCCAACAUCAAGAACAACCUCAACAGCAAGAAUAACCUCGGUAUCAGGAAUAACUUCAUCUUGAGUAGCCUGUGGUGCAAGAGUAAUCUCAGUUUUUUAAAAAAAUGAAACAACAUCAAUUGUUUUAAUAUUGUUCCUACCUAGUUUAUAUUGGAACUUUGAAUGUGAGAAGGAAUAGAGCAUCCAAAUCAAUGGAUUCAUCAAUACAUUUGGUAUUCUAAAAGAAGUGGCAACACCCUCAACUUUAGCUUCAACAACAUCAAUAGACUUGUCAUCUGUUUCAUCAUUAUGUUCAGAGUCACAUGAUUCUUUCUUAGUCUCAACUUCAAAAGUCUCUUUCUUUUCAACUGAGUUAAGUUCUACUUUCGAAGUUGUUUCUCUCUACAAAACAAAAAAAUAUAAUGAGGAAAUGAAUUUAAAAGAAUAGUAGAAGAAGAAGUAAAGGAUGAACUUAUUUUUCAAUGCAUGUGAAGAGCAUUACCUUCUUCAUUUACAUUUCUUGUCUUUUUGAAAGAAAUCAAGCGCAAGGAUACAUUGGUGUUACUUACAGGAAGAGUGUAAAGACAAGCUCUAAGAUUAGCUAAAGGCACAAUAAAAAAUCUUCAUUCUUCAAGACAUUCCCUUCAAUAAGCAAACCACUUAGAAUUGUGGAUGCCAACUCUAUCAAAGCUGGGACAGUAGAACUCUUAGGUUUAUCUAAAUGGAGUUGAAGUCCUGCUAUGAGAAAUGAAGAAACACAAGAAGAAAAACUGAUAAAUGAAGAAAAGUUAGGCAGAGUUGGUUAAUCAAACCAAAAUUGGCGUGCCACUCUAUAAGGAGAAUAUACCUCGACAGAAAGAAAAUUUUUUUCUCCACCCGAAUUGUAAUUCUUAAUCAUAGAAGGCAAUUGGGAAUUGUGAACCCAUAUACAAAAGUUAAUACCUUGUGAACUCAUUCUUCUAGACUAUAGAGGCUAGCAAUUAUAAUAAAUUCCAAGAUCACUAAAUCCAUUUAUAGGCUACACAUAAGUUUUGAGUUUGAAUUCUUUUAUAACAUCCAUCAUUUCAAGAACAUUACCUCUUGGGAGUCGAUCAUGCCACACCCAAGCUCUAUAGUUGUUCCUGGAUAAAGGGUUAUUCACAGAAAAAGAUGCAAAAGUAUACUCAUUAGGCAUAAGAGCGCAAGUACCAAACCUUUCCCAUAGGCAUAUUUGAAUAAUGGAAGCAUCCGUAGAAGUCAAAACUUUGUAACGCUCAGUUGACUCGAUAGUUUUGAGUUAGCACAACGUUAGCCUCUUGUAUAGAAAUCUUAAAUAUAGUAGAGUAAUAGGAAAACGUAUUCCUUUAACAAUUUUUAUUGCUAAAGGAACAACUGUUGAAGAGCUACCAUCAUUUGGACACCUUGGGAGUAUAUGUCAUGCAAACCAAAAGAUUAUUAAGGCCACUAGCAUGUGUUCAUGGUCUAGGUACCCAAGAGGGCCAAUCUCAAUUUCCCUAGCAUUGAACUUCUUAUAAAAUACCCCUAUCCAAUUGGAGAAUCGUGUAACCUUUGCAGUUUUACUUAAACUCUUGAGUAGAUUAAAGAAAAAGUCUCAAAUACAUACCUUUUUUUCAGAAAGCUUGAUAGAGUAAAAAUCAUGCCUCCCCAUGCAAGGAAGUUUCAAAAGAAUACACAUAUCUUCUAGAGUGAAAGUAAAUUCCCCCCAUGCUGUAAUCAUAGUAUGAGAAAAAGUGCUUCACCUUGCUAGAAUAACAUGCCAUACAUCCAUCAUUUUCUCUCUACGAAUAUUGAGUUUUGAAGUAACACGUACAAUAUCAAGUAUUCCAGCAGAUGAGAGAAGUUUAACAUAAGUAAGAUUCUUCAACACCUUGUUUACCCACUCAUCCUAGCCAUGAACAAAUUGAGAAUUGAAGCCUAGCGUAGUAGCAAAAAGUGGAAACUCACCACGCUCAAACCUGAACUUUAAAAUAGAUAAUCCUGGGAUGCCACUUCUUUUAUAAGGAGGUGCUUUUGAGUAUAGAUGAUUCCAAUCAUAUCCAACAGUCUCAGAGGGAUGUUCAUCAACUUGUCUGGCACCUAAAAAUGAUCUUCAUCUCUUUCUCUAAUAAUUUCAUCUUUCCAGUUUUUAGGGACAGGAAGAACUUUACCACUCUUUCCUACUCUAAUUUUUUUAAGAAGAAUUACUUUGGAAUCAUUAUUCUUCUUUUUAUGUGCAAUGGUCUUCUUCCUUAUUACAAUCCUUUUAGGCUCAUCAUAAUGGAUCUUUGAAAGGAAACGCGUCCUAAGCAUAAAGGAAAAUGGAAAAAAAAACUUACAAACAUGAUCAUGGAAAAAGAGAUAAGUAUACAUACGUAAUAAUUUUUGUAUUUACCUAUUUAUUAAGCAUAAAAAAACAAAACAACAAAGUAAAAUAACAAAACUUAUCAAAAUUAUAGAUUUUAAUAUUAUUAUUUUUAAAAAUAUAUAUAAAAUAAAAAAAAAUUAUAUAUAUGCAAUAUAAAAAUAUAUAUAAUAAAUAAGUAAAACUUAAAAAAAAUCUACAACUUCAAACAAAAAAAAUAAAUAAUAAUAAAAUAAUUACAACAUUAUAAAAAGUGCCGCACAUGCCACAACCUUCAACACAAAAGCCAAGUAAAAAAAAAAAAAAAAAGGAAAGCUAUGCCGUGUCUUAAGCCUACAACAAAAGCACUGUUUCCCGAAGUCCUCUUUUACACUUUUGCUUGUACCGUGAGAAAUUAAAAUGCUGAAGACAAAAUAGCUUUCUAAAAAGACAAAAUAAGGUUAAAAUAUCAAAAGCAUAAAUGAUUAAUUUUUAUAUUUUCAAGAAAAUUUUAAUUUUUUCCAAUAGAAAAUUUCGUAAAAAAAAAACUUAAUUUUUGAUAGUGAACUGAUUAAUUGAUCCCAAAAGCAUUUCAUAUCUCCAUUUUUAUUGAAAUCAUAGAUGAAAGAGGCAGAGAAGAGGGUACUCCCCAUGAGACCUGGAGAUGUGACCAUGGAUAUUAGCUUGAGCUGUAAUGGAAUUGACUGUUACAACCAAGCUAUCUAUCCAAAGUACCCAAAUUCUAGCAAGGUGAGAGGAAUUAGGAAUUAGCAAGCUAUCUUUCCCUCUGACUAUUCCUGGACAUAGAUGAAUUUUUUUUUUUAAUUAAGUCAUUCAUUAUAAUUAAUUAGUAAGUACAAAAGAAGGCAUGUCAGCCAUAGGAACAGCAACUGCAGGUAACAGAUGAUGAGAGGUACUCACUGUUACAAAAGAUCAAAGGCAAAAGAAAAACCUGAGUAGAGCCCUGCCUAUGAAAUGAACUAAAAAACAGAACAGUAAAGAGCAGCCAAACGUUGGUGAGAAAAACAGGAUGUGGUGAUCCAAAUUUCAGAGAGUAAGAACAAUAAAAGAGGUUAGAAUCAAAGAGACCAUUUAAUUCACCACCAGGCAGAAAAUUAAAGUGUGAUUACAGACAAAUUAAAUGUAAACUUACAUGUGGAUAACAUUGAAAGAUAUUAUCCAUGAAAUCAAAACUCAUAUGUGGCUAACAUUGAAAGAUAUUAUCCAUGAAAUGAAAACUUAAUUAUAUGUGGCUAACAUUGAAAGAUAUUAUUCAUGAAAUGAAAGCAAAAUGAGCCUAACUUUGGGACCAAAAGAUAUUAUCACAAAAUAGCCAGACAAAACAUUGAAAAGAUGUUAAAAGCAUUCUAAACAUGGGCAGCCUAGCUUUAUGUGUGAUACGUCUGAAACAUGCAUGGGAGCCAGAAUUGACUGGGACAUGUGUAACAGUUCCAUUGCACCACGUACGUACAUGUUGGUUUUUUUUAAGAUAAAUUAUUUAUAACGCCACUUAAUUUUUUGAGAGUUUUCAUUUUGAUCACGUAAUUUUAAAACAUAAAAUUCUAGUCACCGACGUUUGAUUAUUAUUUUAGACUCUCAACCGUUAGAAAUUAUUCAACAUUUCUACGGUUUGGUCUAGAAAUAAUUUGUUAAAAAAAAAAGAUGUUUAGUAAUGUACUCCAAUGAUUUCGCACAUGAAAAACAUAAGUUAAUUUAGUCAUGUACUUCAAAUUUUGGUUUAAUGAUAAGCGAAUAAAUUUUUUAUUCAAAAAAAUUAAAUAUAAAUUCCAUUUUCCAAAUAAAUAAGUAAGAAUAUUUUGACAUUAGUGUCUAGCCUAGUUACAUUAAUACAUUAAUUAUUAAUAAAUUUUGGUAUACGAUAAUUUGGAUAAACAGAAAGUUUAGCUAGUGAGCUUAAUAAAAUUCAAUGUCAAUUACUUUUUGAUUUUAACUUAAAUUUAGGCCAAAUUAGUUCCUCUUAAAAAAAUAUUGUACUUAAUUUUAUUAAUUUAUUCUCCUAGGAUUUACUAAAAUAGCUUGAGAUUGCAAAUUCUUUAGUUAAAUUUGAUGCUGAUAGAUAGGAGAUAUGUCAUGCCUGGUGAAAACUUUUGUAUGAGAUUUGACUUUUUUAUUUUUUAUGGCUGAUUACUCUCAUUUUAGUUUAUAAUGUUUUCUAAAAUAGCUUGGUAAAUUUAUUUUAAAAAUAACCUUUAAUAUAAAGUUAAUUAUUUUUAUCGAACUUUUACUAUGAUUUGACAAAAAUACUCUUAAAAUCAUUUUAAACAAAUUAAAUGUUCUCAAUUGUUCUUUCCUACCAUCCAUUUGUUGUGCUUCCCAUUUUUUUCUCUCGUCAUCCAACUUCAUCUGAUUUUACCAUCAUCACCAUCUCUCUUUGUCUAUCUCUCGCCGUCUCGUCAUACUGCCAUCGAUUUACAGACCAAUAAGCAUGACAUGGAGGGUUACAAUAUGUUCUUAUGUUUAUUGGUUUACAUUCACAAAACCUUCUCUUUGUUUGCCUCUCACCAUUUCAUCAUAUUAUUGUCGAAGAGAAUAGCAUGGUGAGUAAUAAUAUAUUAUAAGGUUUAUUGAUGUUGAGUUUUUUUGUGAUUCAAGUCUAGUAGAGCAUACCUUGGUGUAUAACAUCAAUAGAAAGAAGGAAGUUUUGGCGUGUAAUAUCUGGUGUUGAAGCUUUGGCCUUGGCAGGUAACAUUUGCCACUAAAGCUUUGGUAUGUAGCCUCUUCUGUUGAAAUGUGUAACAUUUGCUUAGGCUUGCAGUGUCAUUUUGUUUUUCUUUUUUGUUGUUUUUAGCUAUUGUAGAGCAUAGUAAACUAAGUUUUUGAUUGCAAAUAUUUAUACAUAUAUAUAUAUAUGUAUAUAUAGAUAUGUAUAUAUAUCUAAAAAAAUCUAAAUGAAGGUGACAAAAAGUUUUUUACUUUAAAAUUGUUAAUCCUUUAGUCCGUUCAUCUUCUUCUUUUUUAAAAAAUUUUUAAAAUUGUUUUUUACCAAAAUUUUCUUGAAAAUCAACAAUUUGUUUACAUUCACAAAACUCAAAAAUUGAUGAGUUUAAGUUAUAAGUGAAAUGAAAUAUAUAAAUUAGAAUACUGUCUAGAGUUGUUACACACCAUGUAUGCAUGUAACAACUCUAAUGCACUUAAUGUGUAAUAAAUCUAUUGAAUAUGACAUGAUGUGUAACAACAUGUUUUUCUACGUACCUGCAUGUAACAACAUUUUUUUUAAAAUAGUGUCUAGCAAAAUUUUUUUGAACAUGACGUGUAACAAUAAUAUUUUUUAAACAUGACAUGUAACUUGCUCCUUCAUAUUUCGUUAUAACAUAAACUCUUGGAGUUAAACACCUCAAACAUAACAUGUAAAAAAUUUUUAUCAACAUAACGUGUAACAAUAUUUUUUUGAACAUGACGUGUAAUAAAAACAUUUUUUUAAAGAUGACAUGUUUGGUCUCUUUGUAUUUUAUGAGAAUAUAAACUUUUAGAGUUAAACAUAUUUACCAAAUAUAUUAAAAAGUUAUUCAACAUCAAUGUUACUGCUGGGAUGAAAUGGAUUUGAACAAACAGAUAUUAUUCAACAUUACCAAAUUUAGAUAUUAGUUUUAGGGUUAUUUUAUUUGUUACAUUUUCUCUAAUCAUAACAAAAGACAUGGUAUGCAAUAACUUUUUUUUUUCAAUAUGACAUGUAACAAAAUUUUUUUCAACACAUGCUUGAAAAUGAGAAGGUUUUCAUUAAGAGCAAUUUUAUCCACAAAUCUUUUCUCUUGACUAAAAACAAUUAAAAUUAAAAGAAAAUAAUUUUCGAAAACACUUUAUCCUUAAGGGUUAAAAAAAAUCAUCCUUUUAUAUUAUAGUAAAUGAAAGAACUAUAUGUAAUUAAAAAUUAUAAUAAAAUUAGGUAAAAAGGAAGUUCGAACUUUAAAUCUUAAGUUCAAAGUAUAGUUUAUAUUAUAUUGCUUUUCAGUUAGUUUCAAAAGCAAAUUAAGAAAACAAAUACCAAAAAUAAGAAACAAAUAGAAAAAUGAUGAAUGACCAAAAUUCUCACACCUUUGUCUCUAUAAAUAGCUAUGCCUAUCAUCCUUGUGUGCAGACAAAAAAACAGAUAGACAAUAUACUAGUGUUUGAUUAUUAGCAAAUGGAUAAUUCCUCAACCAUUUCCUUUCAAACUCAGCUGCCAUGGGGCUCCCAUGAUUUUGCCAUCUCCACACUUGUUUCAUUUCAUUCAACACUUGUCCUAGUGCUUCUCUUUGCACCCCUUGUCCUUGUCAAAUUGAAAUGCACUACUAGAAAGAAUUACAGCAACCGAGCACCUCUCCCUCCAGGGCCAACUCCCUGGCCCGUCAUUGGAAACCUUCCUGAAAUAUGGAAAAACAAACCUGCCUUCAGGUGGAUUCAUGGCCUCAUGAAACAACUCGAUACUGACAUUGCUUGUAUCCGCCUGGCAAACAUUCAUGUCAUUCCUGUCACUUCACCUGAAAUCGCUCGAGAAUUCUUGAAAAAAUAUGAUGCUGUUUUCGCAUCGAGGCCACUUACAAUGGCAACUGAGUUGGCUUCUCGCGGUUUCUUGUCAACCAUCUUGGUGCCAUGGGGAGAUCAGUGGAAGAAAAUGAGAAGGGUGGUUACUUCUAACAUAAUGAGACCAGAAACACUAAGCUGGUUACUCCAUAAGAGAACCCAAGAAGCUGAUAAUCUUGUUAGGUUCAUUUACAACCAAUGCGUCAACCCUGAAAAUGACAGUUCCAAUGGCUCUGUCAUAGACCUAAGACUUGCAGUUAGGCAAUACACUGGCAAUGUCAUCAGGAGGAUGAUGUUCAACAAAAGAUACUUUGGCAAAGGCAAAGAAGAUGGAGGGCCUGGGCAUGAAGAAGAAGAACACGUCGAAUCAAUCUUUACAGUGCUCAUUCACCUUUACUCUUUCGCCCUAUCAGAUUAUGCACCCUGGCUGAGACCAUUAGAUUUGGAGGGUCAUGAAAAGAUUGUGAGUGAGGCUAUGAGAAUUGUCAAUGGCUACCAUGACCCCAUCAUCGAUGAGAGAGUACAACAGUGGAGAGAAGGGAAGAAGAAGGAGCCUGAAGACUUGCUUGAUGCCUUCAUUUUAGCAAAGGAUUCAGAUGGGAAGCCAGCACUUUCAGUUGAAGAGAUCAAAGCCCAAUGCUUUGUGAGAUUCUUACUUGUCCAAACACGAUAUAAUAUAUUUUUAGGUUAACUAAAGGUUGAUGAUCCUUAUUUCGUAUGCAGGACUUAAUGCUUGCAACAGUGGACAAUCCUGCCAAUGCAGCAGAAUGGGCAAUGGCAGAGAUGAUCAACCAACCCGAAACUCUCCAGAAAGCAAUCGAGGAAAUAGAUGGUGUGGUAGGAAAGGACAGGUUGGUUCAGGAGACUGAUAUUCCGAAACUCAACUUUGUAAAAGCUUGUGCAAGGGAAGCCUUCCGGCUUCACCCCAUGGCACCCUUUAACCCACCCCAUGUCUCGAACGCCGACGCCAUAGUUGCUGGCUACUUCAUCCCCAAAGGUAGUCACGUCCUGCUCAGCCGGGUAGGCCUAGGCCGGAACCCCCAGGUUUGGGACGAGCCAUUGAAGUUCAAACCUGAGCGCCAUUUGAAGGAUGGCUCGAUGGAAGUUAACCUGACAGAGACGGAACUGAGGUUCAUUUCUUUUAGUACAGGAAGGCGCGGGUGCAUAGGCGUUGCUCUUGGAUCUGAAAUGACUAUAAUGCUAUUCGCCAGGCUGAUCCAAGGUUUUGCAUGGAAGGUGCCGCCUGAUGAGGCAAAAAUUGACCUUUCAGAAUCGGAAGAUAAUCUGUUCCUAGCAAAACCAUUGCAUGCACUUGCUAAACCUCGCUUGCCUGCUGCAGUAUAUGAUCAGCUCAAUUACAAGUGAAAAGAUUUAAUGCAAGACUACUACUAAAAUAAACUGUAACUGAUUAAGUUACUUGUAUGUUAAUUUCCAUUAAUCCAGCCGUACAAGUUACAUUUCCUCGAUUUAUCCAUGUAGUGGGAAUUUUUUUUUUUUGUGUUAGACCAAGUCGAAAUGAAGGCACACAUAACUCGUAUUCGAAGUAGAAUACAAAUAUUUUAUUUUCACUUGGUGUCUCUUUUCAUCAAUUUGCAUCGUAUAUCCGGCAAACUUUUCUAUAUUAACAUCACUCUUACCACUAUAUUAUUUGUGUUCUGUUUGAGCACACUAUAGAAUUAAUGAGGGUAUCAAAAGGAAAGAGAGGAUUUUUAUUCAAUUCCAAGAGAUAAUCACAAGCCCAUCGAGAAAUAAUGCUAAGCAAAUAAAGUGGAAAUUAAACAUAAUUCACAAUCAUUUCCAGAUAAUCUAAUCCACAAUUAAACAUAAUGCUAAACACACUCUUGAUGUGGGUUUUUUAAGUUAUUUUACACUGCUGAAUUUAUGGCAACACUAUACAUUUUUUUUUGUGUUGACCAAUUGGUAAUUAAAGAACACAUAACUAAUAUUCCAUGUAGAAUAAAUAUCAUUUACCUCCACUUAAUUAAUGUCUUGUUUUAAAAUUAUAGUUCAUGUAUUCUGUAAAUUUCUAUAUUAACGUCACUCUUGUUGUUAUACUAUUUGCUUGCUAUAAGCAAGCUAUCGAAUUGAGACUCCAGGUGAACGUAGAGAAUUUGUAAAUCCUCAUGGACUAUAUAACUCUAAAACAUACAUGGCGGUCCCAAGUGCAUGUCUCUAUCACUUUCAAACUUCUAAAUCAAUAUUUUAAAUGUGUCAUAUUUUAGUUCCAUAUAUAGUAAUAUUUAGUCAAAGAACUUCGUCAAAGAAAUCAAAAGAUUAGAUCAACAUCAAAAACAAAAUUGAUAAUGAUUUUUGAUAUUCUGUCUCUCUUAUCUUUUACGUUUCAAUACAUUAAGUAAUUUUUUUUAAAUAGUACCCUGAGAGUUGAAAAUUGAUCCAGCACAUUUAUAUACUGGUGAUGGGUACUAGUGACAAAAACAGGGACGAAGGAAAGAAAGAAAGGAUCUCUAAUUCUCGACCACCCAUUUGGGUUUUUGGUAUAUAUCUUAACUGUAACACUGUGUCGUUUUCAUAGCUAGAUACUUAGCACCAGGGCACUUCCAAGGUAGAGAAUACACAACGUGGGUCUCGUGUGGGCGGCCAUAUGGCUUCAGCAGGACCAUGGAACUUGGAAGGGUCAAAUAUCGGGAUGAUAACAACCUUUUUGUGUCUUUGAAUCCUCAAUUCCCCAUGACCUAAAAUAAUAAAACAUGCAUGGUUUGUUUAUCUACAUUGUUUACCAAACAAUAAUGAUACUUUACAAUCGGGUAUCGUGUAUUAUUAUUUUUUUUUAACUCAACUAAAAAAGAGAAUAUAUCAAAAGACAUUACGAGUACAUGAUGGAUAAUCAAUUUCGUUGAUUAUCAAAGACACUGAUAUAAGAAACAUUACCAAUAGUUUGAGAAAGAUAAUCAACUUCGUUGAAAAUCUGCCAUGGUUUCCAUGGUCUUUGACGAACAUCAGAAACCCAAGAAAGAGCUACUUUAGAAUCAGAUUCAAAGAGAAGCUGAGCUCCAAUAGAUUGAGAAGCAGAAAAAAGGCGAAGAGCAUGAAGGAUGGCCAUGAGCUCAGCAUAAUUUGAAUCAUGAUAUCCUAGGGGACCAUAAAAAAUGCCCAACAAUGAACCUUCAGAGUUUCUUAACACACCUCCACAUCCAGAGGGACUAGGCUUACCUCAAGCAGAUCUGUUAAUAUUGAAUUUAAAACUUUCUUCCAACAGAGGCUACCAUGAAGAGAUGGAGCCAGAGCUGAAAGAAGGAUGCAAAAAGUGAAUAACAGACGAAUUAGUCUGAUAACUCUAUGAUGUAGAGUUACUUGAGCUUAAUUUUAAUAGUAAUUUAGCUUAAUUCUUGAGGUAAUGCAUAGAAAUUAAUAAGUUUUAUUUAAAUUAUUUUAAACUAAUUAAUUUAGGCGAGUCAAUCUUAUCUUAGUUAAUUUUAUGCUUAAUUUAGUGUUAAUAUGAUUAAGAUAGAUUGUUAUUGAUUUACUCGUACUUUUGUAAGUUUUUAAUGAAGCAAGAAUUUUAAUGGAAGAAUGAGAGCAAUUUUGAGGUGCAAACUUUCACUACACAUAUCUCGGUAAUUCACCCAUAUCUCUUUCUACAGAACUCCAAAUGAGAUGAUUCUUGGAGCAUUGGAAAGAUAAGAGAAAAAGCUAGAACUUUCCCAUAUACCACUUAACCCAUAUGUGUUUGUCUGGUUUAUUUUCCACAAAAAUAACUGAAGAUAAUUUAGGAAGAAUUUCAUUAUAAGAAUCUAAUUCCCAAAUGUGAAGGGUUCGCCUAAAGGAAAUAUACCAAGAGCCAUCAAUCCAUGCAUCAGAAACUCUAGCUUCUUUGUUCAAAGCUAGGGAAAAUAGGCAAGGGAACCUGGAACAAACAGUGUCACUAUCAAACAUCCACUUAUCCAACCAUAAAUAAAGAGUAGCCCUAUUGCCAAUACACCAUUGACAAGCCGAGAAGCCAACUAAAUCUACCACCUUGGUAUUAGUGGGGAGUUGUGUAAUACAUUUCCAAACAAAAGGCAUCUUAUUAGAGUGAGAAGUGGUUGGAAUCCAAUGAACUCUGCCAGCCCCAUAUUUUUCCACAAUCAAACAAUGUCAAAGAGCAUUUUCCUCAAUGCCAUAUCUCCACCACCAUUUGCCAAAAUGGGCAAUAUUCUUAUGGCAUAGAUUAGAGAUACCAAUACCCUCAAAGUGUUUAAGCUUACAUACCGUGCUCCAUUUCACUUUUGAAAGUUUACGAGUAUUCGAUGAGUGACCCCAAAGAAAUGAAUGCCUAAGCUAAUCAAUUUUGGUAAUAACACUUUUUGGAGCCUUAAAAAUGGACAUAUAAUAAAAUGGAAGGGAAUUAAGGAUAGAGUUGAUGAAAGUAAUCUGUCCACCACAUGAGAUAUUUUCGCUACCAUAAAGCUAAUCCUUGUCUGACUUUGUUAAUCACAAGAUCCCAAGAACUGACAUUUCUUGGAUUUGCGCCCAUCGGGAAACCCAGGUAAGUGAAUGGAAGGGAGCCCACCAUGUAGUGAAGUAUAAAGGCUAUGUCAUUGCAAAAAGAGGUUGAAUAACAUAUCGGAUAAGCACAUUACUUGCCAAAGUUAAUCCGUAACACAAAAGUAAUCUCAAAACAACAAAGGAUUUUUUUGAGAACAAUAGAAAAGAGAGGUUUCAGCUUGAGAAAAAGAAUAAUGUCGUCCACAAAUUGUAAGUGAGAAAUGGAAAGACCAUUUGCAAAUAAAGAGAUGCCUUGAAAAAAAUCAAGAUCCUCUACCUUAGAUAGAAGAAGAUGGAGAACUUCAACAGCCAUGAUGAACAGAAAAAAAGAUAGUGGGUUGCCUUGAUGAAGGCCUCCUUUCGUAGGAAAUUCUGUGGUAGCUAAACCAUUGAUAAGAACUGAGACACGAACCGUAAAGAUGCAUUCAAAUAUCCAUUUACUCCAUAAGAGUUGAAUCCCAUGGCCUAUAUAACAAGUAAGAGAAAAUCCCAGUUAACACAGUUGAACGCCUUUUCAAAAUCUAACUUUAUGACAAUACCAUCACAAUUGUGCAUAUCUUUCUUCAUACUAUGAAUAAUCUCAUUGCAAGCAUGAUACUAUUAGUGAUUUGUCUACCAAUGAAAAAUGCUCAUUGAGUAUCACUAAUCACUGAGUGAAUGACUUCUUAAGCUAGUUAGCAAGUUGCUAGGCUAAAAUCUUAUACAAAGAAUUGAUAAGACUAAUGGGCCUAUAUUCCUUCAAAGACGUAAGAUUGGCAACUUUGGGAAUAAAAGCGAUGAAGGAUGAGUUAAGGACUUUUUCAAUUCUGCCCAUAAAUUCAACAACAAAGUCAAAUAAGUCUUGUCGAAUUAAAUGCCAGAAGUGUUUAAGGAAAUUGAGGUUAAAACCAUCUAGACUAGGUGCUUUUGAACCUUCACAAUCCUACACCUUUGCUUUCAAUUUCUACAUAGAGAUCAGCAUUUCAAGAAAAACAGAAUCCUCUCUAGAUCCAUUUCAAGAAAAAGGGAGGCAGAUCAUCUAAAUUAUUGAUGCUUCCUUGGUCUCUAAUUUUAUUUUUACCUUUUUUUGUAUCAUCAUUUACUUCUUCCGUCUCAAAUUGACUUAAUUUCAACCUAAUUUGUUAAAUAGUGGGAUAAUGUAUAUUGACAUUAUAUAGACAUGCAAAUGUACAUACAUAUAUAUAAUCGUUUUGACAUUUUUGGAUAAUUAUUUUAGAGAAAUUGUUUAAUAAGAGUAUUAUAAGUUGUUAAAAAUCGUAACUCAAAAUCUUGAAAAAAUUGGAUUGAAUUUUUUAAUUGAUUAGAAGAAAAUAUUUGGUUGACAAAGAAACCAGGUUUAUCUUUUGAAGAUGAGAAGGGUGAUGUAAUUAGGAGAUUGAUUGAGCUAGAGGAGAUCCAGCUGGUUUCCAGGUGAAGGAGGCACUGAGGACCGGGGGAGUGGGUGCUUGUGUUAGGAAGUAGGCUUUUACGUGGAGGUAGGAAAGGGAGUAGGGUUAAGAUGAUGACGAAUCUGAUCAUGGGCCUUAUGAUGCUAGUGCCCAGGUGCUUGCUAGCGACAAAUGUGAUGGCGUGAGGUUUUCAGCAAGAGAGACCUCAUUGUUAGGUUAAAAUCUCAGCUUUUUUAUUACAAUAGAAUUUCUAGUCAUUUGAUAUUUGUAAGUUAAUAAAUUGUUACUACUGGUAAUAGAGAAGCAGGAUUUAAGGUUAAUGCUGGCAAUUGCUUUUUGAGCAACAGGUUUUUUUUUUUUUUAACUAUAUAUAUCGCUUCUAGUUACCCCAAGGCUAGAAGUCCUAUGUCACUAGAUAUUUUUUAAUUUCGAAGUUCAAGAUUUGAGUUAGCAUACUAGUUAGAGGGUUCAUAAUAAAAUUUGCUUUUAAAAAAAAAAAAAAAAAGACAAUAAUAUGUGGUUAUCAAGUUUACUUGAAGGAUAAGUUUAUUUGAUGGAUUAGGCAAGGCUUGUAGGAAGAAAGAGAUUUUUGGUGGGCAAGUUAGUGGGUUUAUAAAUAGAAUAUAGUCUUAACAUGAUUAAGAAUGAGAGAUAGAUGUAUAUAGAGUUGUAGGGUUUAUAAGAUUAGGUGUGUAGACAUAUCACGAGGCCAAGGGAGAGUCCUUAAAGAUGCGAAUAUUUGAUGUUUAGCUAGGGUUUCUUAAUAUCGAGUGAGGCUAAUCAUGUGUGUAAGUUUAUAAGAAUGUGUAUGAUCAGAUCGAGCGAGCAUACUUAUAUUGUUUUAGUUUGAGUUUGGAAUUGUUAAUUUAUCGAGUGAAUGUUUGAGUAUUGUUAAUAUUGAUAUACUCUCCAAUGAAAUAUUUCGUCGGAAUUUUAAUCUUUUAUAACCAAAUUAAUGCAAUACACUAUACAGAGUUAUUUAUUUUUUGAUAAAAUUUUGUUGAAAAUUUUCAACAAAAUGUAUUUUUGAUAAUACUUUUAUCAAACGAAAUCUUUCAUUGAAAAUUCAUCAAGAAAAAGUAUUUUCAACAAAAUUUUAAUUUUUUUCAACUAAAAAUUUCAUCAGAAAAAACUUAAUUUUUGACAGUGAACUGAUUAAUUGAUCCCAAAAGCAUUUCAUAUUUCCAUUUUUAUUGAAACCAUAGAUGAAAGUGGCAGAGCAGCGGGUACUCCCCAAGAGACCUAGAGAUGUGACCAUGGAUAUUAGCUUGAGCUGUAAUGGAAUUGACUGUUACAUCCAAGCUAUCUUUCCAAAGUACCCAAAUUCUACCAAGGUGAGAGGAAUUAGAAUUGUGCAAGAAAGAAUUUUCCUACCACUGGUGGAUAUUGUCCCUCUGACUGUUCGUGGACAUAGUCGAAUUGAAGUGUGAAUAUAGACAAAUUAAGUGUAAACUUAUAUGCGGCUAGCAUUGAAAGAUAUUAUCCAUGAAAUCAAAACUUAUAUGUGGCUAACAGUGAAAGAUUCUAUCCAUGAAAUGAAAACUUAUAUAUAUGUGAAUAACAUUGAACGAUAUCAUUCAUGAAAUGAAAGCGAAAUGAGCCUAAUGUUGGGACCAAAAGUAGACGUUGUUAUCACAGCAUAACCAGACAAAACAUUGAAAAGAUGUUGAAAACAUUCUAAACGUGGGCAGCCUAGCUUUAUGUGUGAUACGACUGACACAUGCAUGGGAGACAGAAUUGAUUGGAUCAUGUGUAACAGUUCCAUUGCACCACGUACGUAUAUGUUGGUUUUUUUUAAAGAUAAAUUAUGUAUAUCGUCACUUAAUUUUUUGGGUGUUUUCAUUUUGAUCACGUAAUUUCACCGACAUUUGAUUAUUAUUUUAGACACUCAAUCGUUAGAAAUUAUUCAACAUUUCUAUAGUUUGGUUUAGAAAUAAUGUGAAGAGAAUUGGAUUGUUACCCCAUGCUUUUAAGUCUAGUUGGUGUAUUAAUUUGUUUCCUCAGCCUUCUUCCUUACUUGUUUGCAAAUUUUAGUCAGGUUUUCUUGGUGCAUUAUAUAAUUCUUGGUGCUGGAUUUUGGAGUUUCUUAUCGUAUCUGUGUUCGCUAGGGUUCCAUGCAUAGUGUAUGUAAUCUCUAUAAUUACAUUUUAUUCAUAACAUUAUUAAAAGUUUAUAUAGUAUAGUCAAAUUUAUAAAAAUAUCAUAAAAAAGUAAAAAAAAUUAUUACUAAAAAUAUUUAUAAUAAUACAUUUUAAAUAUAUACAGCAGUAACUAUCAUUUUCUUUGACCUUAGGAUUUGGUUUGUCUUGUGUUACAUAUUCCUUGUGACCUUGAUUUUGAUCUUUGUCAUGUGAUUAUUGGUUUGCUUAAGAUUUAACCUGAAUUUAUUUCGAUGUUUAUUUGUAUUAUCUUUUUCUUAUAAAUAAAACUUUAUGCUAUUCAAAAAUAACUAAUAAUGUUACAUUUAAAGGACAAGACAAAGCCACAAAGGACACAAAAAAGGUGACUCUUUGUUAACAUCAGUCAAAGAUUUCUUUUGCCGACCAAAAACCCCAAGGAAAUGAGAACAUCGUAGAUGGAAAAUUUUCUAUGACUGGUGACCAAACAGUUGAAAUAAGGGAAAAAAUGUGAAGAAGAUCAUUUCUCAUAUUUUUUUUGAAAGCAAAAGGAUAGGUAUAAUUAUACACAUGUUAAUUUCAUGAGCUAUUUUUUGUGGUAAUUUCGACGAAAAUAUUGACCACAAUGAUUUCGCACAUGAAAAACAGAAGUCAAUCUAGUCAUGUACUUCAAAUUUUGGUUUAAUGAUAAGUGAAUAUAUUUUUUAUUUAAAAAUAUUAAAUAUAAAUUCCAUUUUCCAAAUAAAUAAGUAAGAAUAUUUUGACAUUUUGAAGUGGGAGUGUCUAGCCUAGUUACAUUAAUAAUUAUUAAUAAAUUUUGGUGUACGAUAAUUUGGAUAAACAGAAAGUUUUGUUAGUGAGCUUAAUAAAAUUCAGUGUCAAUUACUUCUUUGAUUUUAACUCAAAUUUAGGCCAAAUUAGUUCCUCUUAAAAAAAUAUUGUACUUAAUUAUUAUAUAUAUAUAUAUUAUAUCAAAAUAGAGCUAAAUGGUAAACCCACCUCUUGUUUGUUUUGCGACUGCUUUCCAUCAGUGGCUUUAGGUUUUGGUUUGGGAGAAAUGAGCUCAGCAUUUCUACUGUAUUUCUUCUUAACUCUUUCCAAAAUCUUCAAAGGAUCAGCAUUUUGUCCCUUCACAAUCACUCUGUCACCUUCCAUGUCCGUCUUAACUUGUUCAACGCCUGAUAAAAAAAACAAAAACAUGAAAACCUUAUCAAAAGGGCUAUCGGCUACGCCUACGCAUAUGGAUAUGCUUGACAAGACAAAACAAUCAUCAUCCCUACCUUGAAAACCUUUCAAACAAUUGAAAACCUUGGCGGCGCAUCCUUCGCAAUGCAUAUAAACUUUAAGCACAAUUUCUUUCCCUUUAUUUGAAUCCUUUGCUCCCUUCUCUUGUUUAUUUUCACAGCUUUUCUCGAGUUUCACUUCCACNAUUGAAUACUCUCAAUUUCUCUUUCAAGCCAAAACUGUCCAUCCAACUCUCUAUGCUUUCUCAACUCUCUCAUGCCCUUUAAACCAUUCAGGAGCAUGUUUUUGAUUUGCUUUUUCAAAUUCGAUGCAAAAUUGAAAUAAAGAGAAAGUGAGGAAAAAAAAAAAGAAGGUGAAAAAGAAUUGCAUGGAAGAAAACAGUUUUGGCAUUUUGAUUGCUUCCAUCCAUCUUUGAUUUCGUAAAAUCUCAUAAAAAAUUCUAGAAAAGUUUUGCCAAAUGAUUUUGUUGAUGAAUUGCAAAACUUUGUGUCACUUCUUAAUGAUUUUGUAAAAAAAUGUUCAAUAGCUUUGUUGGAAAAAUGUUUUCUACUAUAUGUGGAACCCUUAAGAGAUGACUAUAAUAUUUUUUCAACAUGACGUAUAACAAUAAUAUUUUUUUAAUAUGACUUGUAAUAAUUUUUUUUUAACAAGACAUGUAAACUUUUUUUCAACAGGACAAGUAACAAUUUUUUUUUUCAACAAGGAGUGUAACAAUUUUUUUUUCAACAAUGCGUAUAAUAAUUUUUUUUUCAACAUAAUGUGUAACAACAUUUUUCUGAAUAUAGCAUGUAAUAAAAACAUUUUACUAGGAUAUAACGUUACUAGGAUAUAAACAUUUUUGAAUAUAACGUGUAAUAAUUUGUUUGGUCUCUUUGUAUUUUACUAGGAUAUAAACUCUUGGAGUUAAACACCUUCACGAAAUAUAUUAAAAGUUAUUCAACAUCAACGUUACUACUAGGAUGAAAUGGAUUUGAACAAACAAAUAAUAUUCAAAAUCGCCAAAUUUGGAUAAUUAGUUUUAGGGCUAUUUUAUUUGUUACAUUUUCUCUAAUCAUAAAAAAAGACAUGGUAUGCAAUAACUUUUUUUUCAAUAUGAUGUGUAAUAAAAUUUUUUUCAACACAUGUGCUUGAAAACGAGAAGGUUUUCGCUAAAAGCAAUUUUAUUCAAAAAUCUUUUCUCUUGGCUAAAAACAAUUAAAACUAAAAGAAGAUAAUUUUCGAAAACACUUUAUCUUUAAGGGUUAAAAAAAAUCAUCCCUUUAUAUUAUAGUAAAUGAAAGAACUAUAUUUAAUUAAAAAUUAUAAUAAAAUUAGGUAAAAAGAAAGUUCGAACUUUAAAUCUUAAGUUCAAAACAUAGUUUAUACUAUAUUGCUUUUCAGUCAGUUUCAAAAGCAAAUUAAGAAAACAAAUACCAAAAUUAAGAAACAAACAGAACAAUGAUGAAUGACCAAAAUUCUCACACCUUUGCCUUUAUAAAUAGCUAUGCCUAUCAACCUUUUUGUGUAGAUAAAGACACAGAUAGACAGUAUCUCUAUAACUUUUGUUGGAUUAUUAGCAUAUGGAUAACUCCUCAACCAUUUCCUUUCAAACUCAGCUGCCAUGGGGUUCCCAUGAUUUUGCCAUCUCCACACUUGUUUCAUUUCAUUCAACACUUGUCCUAGUGCUUCUCUUUGCACCCGUUGUCCUUGUCAAAUUGAAAAGCACUACUAGAAAUAAUUACACCAACCAAGCACUUCUUCCUCCAGGGCCAACUCCCUGGCCAGUCAUUGGAAACCUUCCUGAAAUAUGGAAAAACAAACCUGCCUUCAGGUGGAUUCAUGGCCUCAUGAAACAACUCGAUACUGACAUUGCUUGUAUCCGCCUGGCAAACAUUCAUGUCAUUCCUGUCACUUCACCUGAAAUCGCUCGAGAAUUCUUGAAAAAAUAUGAUGCUGUUUUUGCAUCGAGGCCAGUUACAAUGGCAACUGAGUUGGCUUCUCGCGGUUUCUUGUCAACCGCCUUGGUGCCAUGGGGAGAUCAGUGGAAGAAAAUGAGGAAGGUGAUUGCUUCUAACAUACUUAAACCAGCAAGACUUAGCUCGUUGCUCCAUAAGAGAACCCAAGAAGCUGAUAAUCUUGUUAGGUUCAUUUACAACCAAUGCAUCAACCCUGAAAAUGAUAGUUCCAAUGGCUCUGUUAUAAACCUGAGACUUGUAGUCAGGCAAUACACUGGAAAUGUCAUCAGGAAGAUGAUGUUCGACAAAAGAUACUUUGGACAAGGCAAAGAAGAUGGAGGGCCUGGACAUGAAGAAGAAGAACACGUCGAAUCACUCUUUACUGUGCUCAAGCACCUUUACUCUUUCAUCCUAUCAGAUUAUGUACCCUGGCUGAGACCAUUAGAUUUGGAGGGUCACGAAAAGAUUGUAAGUGAGGCUGUGAGAAUUGUCAAUGGCUACCAUGACCCUAUCAUUGAUGAGAGAGUACAACAGUGAAGAGAAGGGAAGAAGAAGGAGACUGAAGACCUGCUUGAUGCCUUCAUUUUAGCAAAGGAUUUAGAUGGGAAGCCUGCACUUUCAGUUGAAGAGAUCAAAGCCCAAUGCACUGUGAGAUUCUUACUUGUCCAAACACAAUAUAAUAUAUUUUUCGGUUAACUAAAGUUUGAUGAUCCUUAUUUCGUAUGCAGGAAUUAAUGCUUGCAACUGUGGACAAUCCUGCCAAUGCAGCAGAAUGGGCAAUGGCAGAGAUGAUCAACCAACCCGAAACUCUCCAGAAAGCAAUCGAGGAAAUGGAUGGUGUAGUCGGAAAGGACAGGUUGGUUCAGGAGACUGAUAUUCCGAAGCUCAACUAUGUAAAAGCUUGUGCAAGGGAAGCCUUCCGGCUUCACCCCAUUGCACCCUUUAACCUACCCCAUGUCUCAAACACCGACGUCAUUGUUGCUGGCUACUUCAUCCCCAAAGGUAGUCACGUCCUGUUCAGCCGGGUAGGCCUAGGCCGGAACCCCAAGGUUUGGGACGAGCCAUUCAAGUUCAAACCUGAGCGCCAUUUGAAGGAUGGUUCGAUAGAAGUUGACCUGACAGAGACAGAACUGAGGUUUAUCUCUUUUAGUACAGGGAGGCGAGGGUGCAUGGGCGUGGCUCUUGGGUCUGAAAUGACAAUAAUGCUAUUGGCCAGGCUGAUCCAAGGUUUUGCAUGGAAGGCGCAGCCUGAUGAGGCAAAAAUUGACCUCUCAGAAUCGGAAGAUGAUCUCUUCCUGGCAAAACCAUUGCAUGCUCUUGCUAAACUUCGCUUGUCUGCUGCAGUAUAUGCUCAGCUUAAUUACAAGUGAAAAGAUUUAGUGCAAGACUACUAGUAAAAUAAACUGUAACUGAUUAAGUAACUUGUACGCCAAUUUCCAUUAAUCCAGCCAUGCAAGUUACAUUUCCUUGAUUUAUCCAUGUAGUGGGAACUUUUUCUUCUUUCUUAGACCAAGUGGAAAUGAAGACACACAUAACUCAUAUUCGAAGUAGAAUACAAAUAUUUUCGCUUGACGUCUCCUUUCAUAAAUUUGCAUCAUUUAUUUAACAAACUUCUUAUAUUAACGUCACUCUUACUAUAAUAUUAUUCGUCGGCUAUUCGAGCACAUUAUUGGGAUUAUAAUAUUAAAGAUUACAACGUGGGUCUCGUGUGGGCGGCCAUAUGGCUUCUGCAUGGGCGGCCAUAUGGCUUCUGCAGGACUAUGGAACUUGGAAGGGUCAAAUAUUGGGAUGAUAACAACCUUUUUAUGUCUUUCAAUCCUCAAUUCCUCACGACCUAAAAUAAUAAAACAUUCAUGGUUUGUUUAUCUACAUUGUUUACCAAACAAUAAUGAUACUUUAUAGUCGGGUAUCGUGUAUUAUCUUUUUUUUUUUUACUCAACCAAAAAAGAGAAUAUAUCAAAAGACAUUAGGAGUACAUGAUGGAUGAGUAAAACCACUCAAAGAAAAAACUCAGAAAUUCAAGCAAAAUGAAAACAACAGCUGGAAGAAAGAACAAAAACAGGACAGCUGCACAUUUCUAAAGCAUGACCUUGUUUGCAGAACACAGCAGAAGCAAAAAAGCAGUGAAGGCUGAACUGCAGGUGCAAGAAGAGAGCUGAGGCCGCACAGAUAAAAACAGUACACAACCAUGAAGCAUACAUUAAAUAGGCCGUUACCACAGAGCAGUGAACAUAGAACAACGAUCAAGACCAAGCUUGCCGAGAGAGUCAGCAAAGGAAUUACCUUCUCUCAAGACAUUGAUAUAAGAAACAUUACCAAUAGUUUGAGAAAGAUAAUCAAUUUCGUUGAAAAUCUGCCAUAGUUUCCAUGGUCUUUGACGAACAUCAGAAACCCAAGAAAGAGCUACUUUAGAAUCAGAUUCAAAGAGAAGCUGAGCUCCAAUAUAUUGAGAAGCAGAGAAAAGGCGAAGAGCAUGAAGGAUGGCCAUGAGCUCAGCAUAAUUUGAAUCAUGAUAUCCUAGGGGACCAUAAAAAAUGCCCAACAAUGAACCUUCAGAGUUUCUUAACACACCUCCACAUCUAGAGGGACUAGGCUUAUCUCAAGCAGAUCUGUUAACACUGAAUUUAAAACUUUCUUCCAACAGAGGCUAGCAUGAAGAGAUGGAGCGAGAGCUGAAAGAAGGAUGCAAAAAGUGAAUAACAGAUGAAUUAGUCUAAUAACUCUAUGAUAUAGAGUUACUUGAGCCUAAUUUUAAAAGUAAUUUAGCUUAGUUCUUGUGGUAAUGCAUAAAAAUUAAUAAGUUUUAUUUAAAUUAUUUUAAACUAAUUAAUUUAGGUGAGUAAAUCUUAUCUUCGUUAAUUUUAUGCUUAAUUUGGUGUUAAUGUAAUUAAGAUAGGUUGCUAUUAAUUUACUCGGGCUUUUGUAAGUGUUUAAUGAAUAAAGAAUUUUAAUGGAAGAAUGAGAGCAAUUUUGAGAUGCAAACUUCCACUGCACAUAUCUCGGUAAUUCACCCAUAACUCUUUCUACAGGACUCCAAAUGAGAUAAUUCUUGGAGCAUUGGAAAGAUAAGAGAAAAAGCUACAAUUUUCACAUAUACCACUUCACCCAUAUGUGUUUGUCUGGCUUAUUUUCCACAAUAAUUAGUGAAGAUAAUUUAGCAAGAAUCUCACUAUAAGAAUCUAAUUCCCAAGAGUGAAGGGUUCACCUAAAGGAAAUAUUCCAAAAGCCAUCAAUCCAUGCAUCAAAACCUCUAGCUUCUUUGUUCAAAGCUAGGGAAAAUAGGCGAAAGAACCUGAAACAAAGAGUGUCACUAUUAAACAUCCACCUAUCCAACCAUAAAUAAAGAGUCGCCCCAUUGCCAAUGCACCAUUGACAAGCCGAGAAGCCAACUAAAUCUACCACCUUGUCAUUAGUGGGGAGCUAUGUAAUACAUUUCCAAACGAGAGGCAUCUUAUUAGAGUGAGAGGUGGUUGGACUCCAAUGAAAUUUCCCAGCCCCAUAUUUCUCAGCAAUCAAACAAUGUCAAAGAGCAUUUUCCUCAAUGCCAUAUCUCCACCACCAUUUGCCAAAACGGGCAAUAUUCUUGUGGCACAGAUUAGAGAUACCAAGACCCCCAAAGUGUUUAAGCUUACAUACCGUGCUCCAUUUGACUUUUGAAAGUUUACGAGUAUUCGAUGAGUGACCCCAAAGAAAUGAAUGCCUAAACAAAUAAAUGUUGGUAAUUACACUUUUUGGAGCCUUAAAUAUGGACAUAUAAUAAAACGGAAGGGAAUUAAGGAUAGAGUUGAUGAAAGUCAACCUUCCACCAAAUGAGAGAUAUUUUCGCUACCAUAAAGCUAAUCCUUGUUUGACUUUGUUAAUCACAAGAUCCCAAGAAUUGACAUUUCUUGGAUUUGCGUCCAUCGAGAAACCCAGGUAAAUGAAUGGAAGGGAGCCCACCAUGUAGUGAAGUAUAAAGGCUAUGUCAGUGCAAAAAGAGGUUGAAUAACCUACCGGAUAAGCACAUGACUUGCCAAAGUUAAUUCGUAACACAAAAGUAAUCUCAAAAUAGCAAAGGAUAUUUUUGAGUGUAGACACUAUACUUUUUCUUUCAUUAUUGAUAUUAUUUAUUUGUUUUAUGUGUUAAUUAAACAUUAUGUGCACCUUGCCAGCACAAUAUGUUGUGCCAGAUGCAAAAAACUCGCGUCUGGCAGAUAGGUGGAAAUGGCACCCCAAGAUCGUAAUCAGGUAUCAAAACGCUACAGUAGUAGCUACAAAAACACAACGGCAACCAAAAAUCAAAAGGAAGAAAAACCCUACAGAGUGAGCAACAAAAAUUUUUCUAGCAGCCAACCAACCAACCACAAAUCCAUAGUAAAAAAAAUACAAAGAAAAAAAAACAAAAAUACAAUGAGAGAAGGUGGGUAGCUUGGUUUUAGAGUUUUUUGGUUUGGUUUUUUUUUAGGGGUAGAUUUUGAUUUUUGGAAGGGUUUUUUUUUGGCUUGAGUAGCCGGCCCCCAAAGUUUGGGUUUUGUUGCCGCCGGUUAGAGACGGAAAGUUUGGGUUUGGCACCGCCAAUCAGAGAAUGUUAAAGCUUGGGUUUAGUGCCGCCAGUUAGAGGACAAAGUUUAGGUUUUGUUGCCACUGGUUAGAAAGGGAAAGCUUGGAUUUGGCGCCGUCGGUCAAAGAGUGUUAAAGUCUGGGUUUAGUGCCGCCGGUUAGAAGACAAAGUUUGGGUUUUGUUGUCGUCGGUUAGAGGACAAAGUUUGGGUUUUGUUGCCGCUGGUUAGAGAGGGAAAGUUUGGGUUUGGUGCCGCAGGUCAAAGGGUGUUAAAGCCUGGGUUUAAUGUCGUUGGUUAGAGGACAAAGUUCGGGUUUUGUUGUAGCCGGUUAGAGAGGGAAAGUUUGGGUAAGUGCCGCCGGUUUGAAGGAAGCUUUUAGUGAAAAUGGAGAGUGACUGGGUUAUAAAGGGGAGAAAAGUUAAGAAGGAAAAGAAAGUGGUUUAUAUAGUUGGGGUUUUAGAGUAAUCGGUCAUAGGGUCCUUAAACGGCGUCGAUUAGUCAUCAAGGAGACAGACUUCUCCUUUCCUUCCUCAGGCGGUACACUUUGGAGAAUAGACUCCGAGCAGUAGGAAAGCCGGUGGAUUGAAACUGGUUGGGUAUUUGGCCCAUAAAGGUAAAAUCUUUAUCAUUUUCUUCAGAUCAGUUGUGAUUUGGCCUGUUUCAUUUUGUUGGUUCUUAGGAUUAAUGUUUAAUUAGGUAUGAUUAGGAUUUAGUUAUUUUAGCUUAAUGUUUGAAACCUCAUAAAUAAUAAAAAUGUUUAGGAAUGAAAAGAACUUAGAUUUGAAAGAAUAUUUAAACUAAGGCAAAUGAAGUAUAUAUGUAAAACAGAAAAUAAGUUGCUAAAUGGGAUUUGUUUUUAGAGAGAUCUAUAAAAAAAAUAUAAAAUGAAUGAAACAAAUAAGUGAUUGGUUAAAAUAUGAAUAUAUAAAUUAAAUUAAGUGAAAAAUGAAAAUUAUGGAGCUGUGGGUGUGGUAUAUAUUGAGUAAAAAAAAAUAUUUUAGAGAAUAUGUAUAUUCAAUGGAUUAUAAAUGGAUUAUAUAAAGUAAGAAAUACUUAAUACUGGGCAUUAAAAAAAAAGGAGUAAAGUUAGUCAAACAAUUAUGAUAAUAUAUGUAAUAAAUCAACCUUAGAAAAUUGAAUCCUAAAAGACAAUAAAACUAAUUAUAGGAAUGACAAAUAAUCAAUACCGAUAAUGGGAUGAUCGACCGAGAUGCGAGGAGUCUCAAUCCUGAGCUACUUUUCCCUAGGUUCGGAAUCCAAAUUAGGGCCCCACUAGUAUGAUGGGAGGGCCCUGAUUUUGAGGUUUCGAGAUUUUUUUAAUUUUAAAUAAAUAUAAAAUUACUAUGCAAUAAAUUAGUCAAAUGAAAUAUAAAUACAAAUAUGGCAUAGAUGACAUAUAUUUAAGUCAUCCAAAGAUAAGAACAAAAAUUGUGAAAAUGGUAAUACUCGUGACAAUAAAUAAAUAGAUAAAUAACUAAAAUAGUCAAUGAUGGAAAAUUCAAAACAAUAAAUAGGUGUAAAAUAUAAAAUUUAAAUAUCUAGUUGUAUAAAAUAGAUAGUAAUAAAUUUAUAAGUGUUAUGAAAAAUGAAUAAGGUAGAUAAUAAAUAGAAAAAAUUGAAUCAAAUUGUAUAUAAUUAUGAAAUAGGAUAUCUUGCUAUAGAUUUUGAGUGAGAAGAUUAUUUACAUAUUAAAAAUGUACACUUAAAUAACAUAGAAAUAUAGAUAAUUCAUAACAUGCAUAAUUAUAAAAGGAGAUAUAGAAAAGGAGAAUCCAUAAGAAAUAGCAAGGAAGACAUAGGAGAACUUAGAAAUUAAAAAAAAAAACCAAUAAUGAACUUCAUAAGCAUAGCAUAUAUUUCUAUCGCAUCAUGCUUGUCAUGGCAUAUAGAUAUUCUUGUUCACGAGUAUAAGUCUCGAUGAUGGGAUUUUUCGAAAAUCUUGCGAAGGCGAGUUUCUCUCAAAAAGUUCCCUAGGUGAAAGAAUGUCCCCAAGUCCCACUAGUACAAUGGGAGGGCUUGGGAAAGAUCUUUACUAAAAAGGCUUUUGCUCGCAAUAGUUUUACAUUCAUGAAAAAAUAUUUUUUUUAAAAAGGCGUACGGUAACCCCGAUGAUGGGAUUUAUUCAUCAAUUUUGCGAAGGUGAAUUUCUCAGAUAAUUCUCUAAGUGAGAGUAUAUCCUCGGAUCCCACCAGUAUGAUGACAGAUCCGGGAGAAUAUCCUCAAUAAAAGGUUAUUUGUCUGACAUUAUUUGAAUUUCAUGCCAUGCAUUUCACAAUACCUUAUCUUCACAUCAUACCUUAGAGUCAAAUAAAAUAUUUUAAUAAAAUAGAGGCUAAAAUAAAUGAAUAAUAACUAAGGAAACAUAAUAAAUUUAAGGAUUAAUGGCCCAAUAGGAUAAUCUAAAACCAAAUGGUACCGUUCAUGGAAUGGGCGUCACGGGGGUGCUAAUCCUUCCUCGGGUGUAACUGCAGUCCCGAACCUUGUCCUAAAAGACGUAAACCAGUUUAAGAUUCUCUCGACAGACUUAAAAUUAAUUUAAGACUUUAUCGAUUAGAAUUGAGUCAAUAGGUGGCCAAUCACACCUAGAAUAAAGAUUGGUGGCAAAUCUUUAGUGUUUUUCCCCGCGUCUAACGGUCGGGUUCCCAAUUGAAACCCCCAAGGAAACGAGAACCUCAUAGAUGGAAAAUUUGAUAGGACUGGUGACCAAACAAUUGAAAUUAGGGAAAAAAUGUGAAGAAAAUCAUUUCUCAUUUUUUUUUUUAAAGCAAAAGGAUAGGUAUAAUUAUACUCAUGUUAAUUUCAUGAGCUAUUUUUUGUGGUAAUUACAAUGACAAUAUUGACCACAAUCAUUUCGCACAUGAAAAACAUAAGUCAAUUUAGUCAUUUACUUCAAAUUUUGGUUUAAUGAUAAGUGAAUAAAUUUUUUAUUUAAAAAAAUUAAGUAUAAAUUCCAUUUUCCAAAUAAAUAAGUAAGAAUAUUUUGACAUUUUGAAGUGGGAGUGUCUAGCCUAGUUACAUAAAUAGAUUAAUUAUUAAUAAAUUUUAGUAUAACGAUAAUUUGGAUAAACAGAAAGUUUAGUUAGUGAGCUUAAUAAAAUUCAAUGUCAAUUACUUCUUUGAUUUUAACUCAAAUUUAGGCCAGAUUAGCUCCUCUUAAAAAGAUAUUGUACUUAAUUUUAUUAAUUUAGUCUCCUAGGCUUUACUAAAAUGGCUUGAGAUUGCAAUUUCUUUAGUUAAAUUUGAUGUUGAUAGAUAGGAGAUAUGCCAUGCCUGGUGAAAACUUUUGUAUGAAAUUUAAGUUUUUUAUUGUUUAUGGCUGAUUACUUUCAUUUUAUUUUAUAGUGUUUUUUUAGUAGUAUGGCAUAUAUAUAUAUAUAUCAAAGUAAAUUGUGUGAUACGUCUGACACAUGUAUGGGAGACAGAAUUGAUUGGGGCAUGUGUAACAGUUCCAUUGCACCACGUAGGUACAUGUUGGUUUUUUUUUUUAAGAUAAAUUAUUUAUAUCAUCACUAAAUUUUUUGGGAAUUUUCAUUUUGAUCACGUAAUUUUAAAAAAUAAAACUCUAGUCACCGACGUUUGAUUAUUAUUUUAGACACUCAACAGUUAGAAAUUAUUCAACGUUUCUACGGUUCGGUCUAGAAAUAAUUUGUUAAAAAAAAAAACAAGGAUGUUUAGUAAUGUACUUCAAUGAUUUUGCACAUGAAAAACAUAAGUCAAUUUCGUCAUGUACUUCAAAUUUUGGUUUAAUGAUAAGUGAAUAAAUUUUUCAUUUAAAAAAAUUAAAUAUAAAUUCCAUUUUCCAAAUAUAUAAGUAAGAAUAUUUUGACAUUUUGAAGUGGGAGUGUCUAGCCUAGGCACAUUAAUACAUUAAUUAUUAAUAAAUUUUGGUAUACCAUAAUUUGGAUAAAUAGAAAGUUUAGUUAGUGAGCUUAAUAAAAUUCAGUGUCAAUUACUUCUUUGAUUUUAACUCAAAUUUAGGCCAAAUUAGUUCCUCUUAAAAAAAUAUUAUACUUAAUUUUAUUAAUUUAUUCUCCUAGGCUUGACUAAAAUAGCUUGAGAUUGCAAAUUCUUUAGUUAAAUUUGAAGCUGAUAGAUAGGAGAUAUGUCAUGCCUGGUGAAAACUUUUGUAUGAGAUUUGAGUUUUUUAUUUUUUAUGGCUGAUUACUUUCAUUUUAGUUUAUAGUGUUUUUUAAAAUAACCUAGUAAAUUUGUUUUAAAAAUAACCUUUAAUAUAAAGUUAAUUAUUUUUAUCGAACUUUUACAAUGACUUGACAAAAAUAUCCUUAAAAUCAUUUUAGACAAAUUAAAUGUUCUCAAUUGUUCUUUGCCGCCAUCCAUUUGCUGUGCUUCCCAUUUUUUUCUCUUGUCAUCCAACUUUCUUUAAUUUUACCAUCACCACCAUCUCUCUUUGUCUAUCUCUCGCCAUCUCGUCAUAUUGCUGUCGAUUUACAGACCAAUGAGCAUGACAUGGCGAGUUACAACAUAUUUUUAUGUUUAUUGGUUUACAUUCACAAAACCUUCUCUUUGUUUGCCUCUCGCUCUUUCAUCAUAUUAUUGUCGAAGAGAAUGGCAUGGCGAGUAAUAACAUAUUUUUAGGUUUAUUGAUGUUGAGUUUUUCUAUGAUUCAAGUCUAGUAUAGCAUACCUUGGUUUGUAACAUCAAUAGAAAGAAGGAAGUUUUGGCGUGUAAACUUAUAUGUGAUUAUAAGUUAUAGACAAAUUAAAUGUAAACUUAUAUGUGGCUAACAUUGAAAGAUAUUGUCCAUGAAAUCAAAACUUAUAUGUGGCUAACAUUGAAAGAUACUAUCCAUGAAAUGAAAACUUGUAUAUAUGUGGCUAACAUUGAAAGAUAUUAUUCAUGAAAAGAAAGCGACAUGAGCCUAAUUUUGGGACCAAAAGUAGAAGUUGUUAUCACAGCAUAGCCAGAAAAAACAUUGAAAAGAUGUUGAAAACAUUCUAGACAUGGGCAGCCUAGCUUUAUGUGUGAUACGUCUAACACAUGCAUGGGAGACAGAAUUCUAGUCACCGACAUUUGACUAUUAUUUUAGACACUCAACCGUUAGCAAUUGUUCAACAUUACGGUUCGGAUUAGGAAUAAUUUGUUUAAAAAAAAAAACGAGGAUGCUGUCAUUAACUAGAUCAUUGAGUUAGAAUAAUGUGAAGAGAAUUGGAUUGUUACCCCAUGCUUUUAAGUCUAGUUGGUGUAUUAAUUUGUUUCCUCGGCCUUCUUCCUUACUUGUUUGCAAAAUUUAGUCAGGUUUUCUUGGUGCAUUAUAUAAUUCUUGGUGCUGGAUUUUGGAGUUUCUUAUCGUAUCUUUGUUCGCUAGGGUUCCAUGCAUAGUGUAUGUAAUCUCUAUAAUUACAUUUUAUUCAUAACAUUAUUAAAAAUUUAUAUAGUAUAGUCAAAUUUAUAAAAAUAUCAUAAAAAAGUAAAAAAAAUUAUUAAUAGAAAUAUUUAUAAUAAUACAUUUUAAAUAUAUACAGCAGUAACUAUCAUUUUCUUUGACCUUAGGAUUUGGUUUGUCUUGUGUUACAUAUUCCUUGUGACCUUGAUUUUGAUCUUUGUCAUGUGAUUAUUGGUUUGCUUAAGAUUUAACCUGAAUUUAUUUCGAUGUUUAUUUGUAUUAUCUUUGUCUUAUAAAUAAAACUUUAUGCUAUUCAAAAAUAACUAAUAAUGUUACAUUUAAAGGACAAGACAAAGCCACAAAGGACACAAAAAAGGUGACCCUUUGUUAACAUCAGUCAAAGAUUUCUGUUGCCGACCAAAAACUCCAAGGAAAUGAGAACAUCGUAGAUGGAAAAUUUUCUAUGACUGGUGACCAAACAAUUGAAAUUAGGGAAAAAAAUGUAAUGUAAUUGAAAUUAAAAAAUUUAAAAUUACGACGAAAGGGUAGUUUUUGUAACCCAAUUUCAGUAAUGAAUCCAUUCCUGAUGCUUUGGUUAUAAAGAAGAGAAAGAAAGAAAGAAAGAAAAUUCCCAUUUAACAACUAUUGAAUUUUUUUUUUACAUAAUUACCAUUUCAAUUAAUUAAUUUUUCUUCACAUAUUGUUGAUCUACUUCUUAAACAUCAUGGAUCUGUCGAUUUUAAUUUUAAUUUUUUUAUUUAUUAUUGAUUUUCAGUAAAAAAUGGUAAAUGAGUCAAAUUAAAUGUAAACUUAUAUGCGGACAUAGUCGAAUUGAAGUGUGAAUAUAGACAAAUUAAGUGUAAACUUAUAUGUGGCUAGCAUUGAAAGAUAUUAUCCAUGAAAUCAAAACUUAUAUGUGGCUAACAGUGAAAGAUACUAUCCAUGAAAUGAAAACUUAUAUAUAUAUGUGGCUAACAUUGAACGGAAGUAGCCAGACAACAUUGAAAAGAUGUUGAAAACAUUCUAAACGUGGGCAGCCUAGCUUUAUGUGUGAUACGUACACAUGCAUGGGAGACAGAAUUGAUUGGGUCAUGUGUAACAGUUCCAUUGCACCACGUACGUAUAUGUUGGUUUUUUUUUUAAGAUAAAUUAUUUAUAUCGUCACUUAAUUUUUUUUUAAGAUAAAUAUAUAUAUAUAUCAAAGUAAAUUAUGAGAAAUAGUCAACCUAAUAAACUCAUUUUAAAGAUAACCUUUAAUAUAAAGUUAAUUAUUUUUAUCAGACUUUUACCAUGACUUGAUAAAAAUACCCUUACAAUCAUUUUAGACAAAUUAAAUGUUCUCAAUUUUUCUUUCCCGCCAUCCAUUUGCUGUGCUUCUCAUUUUUUUCCCUCAUCAUCCAACUCUGUUUAAUUUUACCACCAUCACCAUCUUUCUCUGUCUAUCUCUCGCCAUCUCGUCAUAUUGCUGUCAAUUUACAAACCAAUGAGCACGACAUGGUGGGUUACAACAUGUUCUUAUAUUUAUUGGUUUACAUUCAACACCCUUCUCUUUGUUUAUCUCUCGCCAUUUCAUCAUAUUAUUGUCGAAGAGCAUGGCAUGGCUAGUAAUAACAUAUUCUUAGGUUUAUUGGUGCUGAGUUUUUCUGUGAUUCAAGUCUGGCAAAGCAUGCCUUGGUAUGUAACAUCAGUAGGAAGAAGGAAGUUUUGGCAUAUAAUAUCUAGUAUUGAAGCUUUAGCCUUGACAUAUAACAUUUGUUGUUGAAGCUUUGGUGUGUAACCUCUUCUAUUGAAAUGUGUAACAUUUGCUUAGGCUUGCAGUGUCAUUUUGUUUUUCUUUUUUGUUAUUUUUAGCUGUUGUAGAGCAUAGUAUACUAAGUUUUUGAUUGUAUAUAUAUAUGUAUAUGUAUAUAUAUCUAAAAAACUCUAAACAAAGGUGAGAAGAAGUUUUUUCCUUCAAAGUUGUCAAUCCUUUACUCCGUUCAUCUUCUUCUUUUUUUUGAAAAUUUUUAGAGUUCUUAUUUUUUUUGCAAAAUUUUCUUGAAAAAUCAACAAUUAGUUUACAUUCAUAAAUCCAAAAAUAGAUGGGUUAAAGUUACAAGUGAAAUGAAAUCUAUAAAUUAGAACACUGUCCAGAGUUGUUGCACACCAAGUCUGCAUAUAACAACUCUAAUGCACUUAAUGUGUAAUUAAUCUAUUGAAUAUGAUAUGACGUGUAACAUAUUUUUGUACAUACCUACAUGUAACAACAUUUUUUUUAAAAUAGUGUCUAGCAAAAUUUUUUUAAACAUGACUUGUAACAACAAUAUUUUUUAAACAUGGUAUGUAACUUACUCCUUUAUAUUUCAUUACAACAUAAACUCUUGGAAUUAAACACCUCAAACAUAACGUGUAAUAAUUUUUUUUCAACAUAACGUGUAACAAUAUUUUUCUAAACAUAGCGUGUAAUAAAAACAUUUUUUAAAUAGGGCGUGUGUGGUCUCUUUGUAUUUUACUAGGAUAUAAACUUUUGGAGUUAAACACCUUCACGAAAUAUAUUAAAAGUUAUUCAACAUCAACGUUACUGCUAAGAUGAAAUGGAUUUGAGCAAACAGAUAUUAUUCAAAAUCGCCAAAUUUGGAUAAUUAGUUUUAGGGUUAUUUUACUUGUUACAUUUUCUCUAAUCAUAAAAAAAAACAUGGUAUGCAAUAACUUUUUUUUUUUUCAAUAUGACGUGUAACAAAAUUUUUUUCAACACAUGUGCUUGAAAAUGAGAAGGUUUUCAUUAAAGAGCAAUUUUGUUCAAAAAUCUUUUCUCUUGGCUUAAAAACAGUUAAAAUUAAAAAUAUGGUUAUUUUCGAAAACACUUUAUCUUUAAGGGUUAAAAAAAAUCAUCCCUUUAUAUUAUAGUAAAUGAAAGAACUAUAUUUAAUUAAAAAUUAUAAUAAAAUUAGGUAAAAAGAAAGUUCGAACUUUAAAUCUUAAGUUCCAAAUAUAGUUUAUACUAUAUUGCUUUUCAGUCAGUUUCAAAAGCAAAUUAAGAAAACAAAUACCACAAAUAAGAAACAAACAGAACAAUGAUGAAUGACCAAAAUUCUCACACCUUUGCCUCUAUAAAUAGCUAUGCCUAUCAACCUUUUUGUGUAGACAAAGACACAGAUAGACAGUAUACUAGUGUUUGAUUAUUAGCAAAUGGAUAAUUCCUCAACCAUUUCCUUUCAAACUCAGCUGCCAUGGGGCUCCCAUGAUUUUGCCAUCUCCACACUUGUUUCAUUUCAUUCAACACUUGUCCUAGUGCUUCUCUUUGCACCCCUUGUCCUUGUCAAAUUGAAAAGCACUACUAGAAAGAAUUACACCAACCAAGCACGUCUCCCUCCAGGGCCAACUCCCUGGCCAGUCAUUGGAAACCUUCCUGAAAUAUGGAAAAACAAACCUGCCUUCAGGUGGAUUCAUGGCCUCAUGAAACAACUCGAUACUGACAUUGCUUGUAUCCGCCUGGCAAACAUUCAUGUCAUUCCUGUCACUUCACCUGAAAUCGCUCGAGAAUUCUUGAAAAAAUAUGAUGCUGUUUUUGCAUCGAGGCCAGUUACAAUGGCAACUGAGUUGGCUUCUCGCGGUUUCUUGUCAACCGCCUUGGUGCCAUGGGGAGAUCAGUGGAAGAAAAUGAGGAAGGUGAUUGCUUCUAACAUAAUUAAACCAGCAAGACUUAGCUCGUUGCUCCAUAAGAGAACCCAAGAAGCUGAUAAUCUUGUUAGGUUCAUUUACAACCAAUGCAUCAACCCUGAAAAUGAUAGUUCCAAUGGCUCUGUUAUAAACCUGAGACUUGCAGUCAGGCAAUACACUGGAAAUGUCAUCAGGAAGAUGAUGUUCAACAAAAGAUACUUUGGACAAGGCAAAGAAGAUGGAGGGCCUGGACAUGAAGAAGAAGAACACGUCGAAUCACUCUUUACUGUGCUCAAGCACCUUUACUCUUUCAUCCUAUCAGAUUAUGUACCCUGGCUGAGACCAUUAGAUUUGGAGGGUCACGAAAAGAUUGUAAAUGAGGCUGUGAGAAUUGUCAAUGGCUACCAUGACCCUAUCAUUGAUGAGAGAGUACAACAGUGGAGAGAAGGGAAGAAGAAGGAGCCUGAAGACCUGCUUGAUGCCUUCAUUUUAGCAAAGGAUUUAGAUGGGAAGCCUGCACUCUCAGUUGAAGAGAUCAAAGCCCAAUGCACUGUGAGAUUCUUACUUGUCCAAACACAAUAUAAUAUAUUUUUCGGUUAACUAAAGUUUGAUGAUCCUUAUUUCGUAUGCAGGAAUUAAUGCUUGCAACUGUGGACAAUCCUGCCAAUGCAGCAGAAUGGGCAAUGGCAGAGAUGAUCAACCAACCCGAAACUCUCCAGAAAGCAAUCGAGGAAAUAGAUGGUGUAGUCGGAAAGGACAGGUUGGUUCAGGAGACUGAUAUUCCGAAACUCAACUAUGUAAAAGCUUGUGCAAGGGAAGCCCUCCGGCUUCACCCCAUUGCACCGUUUAACCUACCCCAUGUCUCAAACACCGACGUCAUUGUUGCUGGCUACUUCAUCCCCAAAGGUAGUCACGUCCUGCUCAGCCGGGUAGGCCUAGGCCGGAACCCCAAGGUUUGGGACGAGCCAUUCAAGUUCAAACCUGAGCGCCAUUUGAAGGAUGGUUCGAUAGAAGUUGACCUGACAGAGACAGAACUGAGGUUUAUCUCUUUUAGUACAGGGAGGAGAGGGUGCAUGGGCGUGGCUCUUGGGUCUGAAAUGACAAUAAUGCUAUUGGCCAGGCUGAUCCAAGGUUUUGCAUGGAAGGCGCAGCCUGAUGAGGCAAAAAUUGACCUAUCAGAAUCGGAAGAUGAUCUCUUCCUGGCAAAACCAUUGCAUGCUCUUGCCAAACCUCGCUUGUCUGCUGCAGUAUAUGCUCAGCUUAAUUACAAGUGAAAAGAUUUAGUGCAAGACUACUAGUAAAAUAAACUGUAACUUAUUAAGUUCCUUGUACGUCAAUUUCCAUUAAUCCAGCCAUGCAAGUUACAUUUCCUUUAUUUAUCCAUGUAGUGGGAACUUUUUUUCUCUUUGUUAGACCAAGUGGAAAUGAAGACACAUAUAACUCAUAUUCGAAGUAGAAUACAAAUAUUUUCGCUUGAUGUCUCCUUUCACAAAUUUGCAUCAUUUAUUUAACAAAUUUCUUAUAUUAACGUCGCUCUUAUUAUAAUAUUAUUUGUCUGCUAUUCGAGCACGCUAUGGAAUGAAGGUACCAAGUGGAGAGAGAGGAUUUUUAUCCAAUUCCAGCUAAUAAUCACAAGUCUGUGGAGACAUAACACUAACAAAAAAAAAAUGACAAUUAAACAUAAUUCACAAUCAUUCCCAAAAAGUCUAAUCUAUAAUUGAGAGGCUGAAAUACUAUUAUAAAUGUUUUCUUGGAACAAAGCACACUAUUAGAUCUUUGAAUAUGAUAUAAAGAUUUCAAUCAAAAAUAAGAGAAUUCUUAUUGUAAGAUUUACCGUUUGUUGAAUUUUUCAUUUCAGAAUUUAACUUAUUAUGUUGUUCAAAUUAGAAUGUAAUGUUUUUUAUUUUAUUCAUUUAACAAUUAUUUUUUUUCUUUUUUGGAAAUCAAUGCUUCUUUCGUUUUCAAUGGAAGUCAAGGAUAACGGUUUUCACACUUUGAAAACCCUCAGGUACAGUUCAAAACAAAAAGACCACUCUAUACCUGGACAAAUACGCCCCCCUUCCUUUUACAUUGAACAUAAACUACACAGAUAUCACAAUCAAUCCUCAACAUAGGCCCUGCACACCACCAACCCAUGCAAACAAGAGACUAAGGGCUUUCCUUUGUUUACCUUUCAAGCUCAAAGCCUCACCUAACAUCCUUACGAAGGACCCGCUCCUCAUUCAAGAAUAAACAGAAGAUACAGAUUACCCACACUAUCCAAAAUCUGCCCGCUACUCUGCUGAUCUGUUGUUAGCCGCAUUCUUUGCAAGGGAGUUAGCGAUUCUUCUAGCCCCUUUCAGUGUCACGGUCUAAAAAGAGAGUCAUGAGUCCGAUAUCAACUGUGUAUUAGUGUAUGAUUGGAUAUUUAGGUGCUCAUAUCAUCUUCAACCUAUGAAUAUUAAGGGACCAAAGUGUUGAUGCCACCUCUCAAUUUUAAAUUUUUUUUUUAUUAUAUAUCUAUUUAUGAGACGCCUUAUGUGAGAUAAAAUCUUGAAGUUCCAUAAGUUAAAAUGGAUAAUAAAUUACAAGUUACUAACUUGUGUAGGGACUUAAAGAAGGCUUUUUAUCCAUUGAACAGCAUUAUGUGAGCCAAUGCAAUUAAUAGGAUUAACGAUUACUACAUAAAAGUAAUCCUUAAUAAAUAUAGAUUUGUAACUCUUCAUUUUAUUAAUGAUAAUUUAGCGACUCAAUUUCACAUAAUGAAUAAAGUCGGAAAAAGUAACAUCUUAAUUUGAACGAAAAAAGGUUGAAUCCCAAAUAAUUAAAAAAAUUUAAUAAAUGUUAAAUUUUAAAACGAGCAUUUAACCGACAAAAAGAUAAUAUAGAAGAUAUAACUAUUGAAGUUCACACACUUAAAGAAAUUAAAAGAGAACACUUCAUAAACUAGACCAUAUGAAAACAUUUUUCUUGUGUAAGAUUCAGAAAUUGAUCCAGCACAUUUAACUAGUGGCAAAAAAUACCAACCAUUGGUUUUUGGUGUGGUAUCUGAAAUUAUAGCUAAAAUGUACCCAGCCAUCACUGGGUAGCUAGGUAUGGAGAAACACAACGUGGGUCUCGUGUGGGAGGGCCAUAUAGCGUCUGCUUUGUCCCGAGCUGCUGGUCCAUAACGGUGGACGUGUCAAAUUCUGGGAUGAAUCCCCAUGGACUAUAUAACUCUAAAACAUGCAUGGUGGUCCUAAAUGCAUAUCUGUAUAUCACUUUCAAGCUUCAAAAGCAAUAUUUAGUUCCAUAUGGGAUAUAUGUUGGUGGGAAAAACAUAAUAUUUAGGACUUAGUCAAAGAAAUCAAAAGAUUAAACCGACAUCGAAAAUAAAAUCGAUAAUGAUUUUUUGGAGUUCCGUCUUUCUUGUUCGUUACUUUUCAACACAUUGUUAUUUUUCCUGAAGUCGUGUACCUGAGCACAUUUAUAUAGUGGUAAUGGGUACUAUAGACAAAAACAAGAAAGGAUCUCUAAUUCUCGACCACCCAUUUGGGUUUUUGGUAUAUAUCUUAAAUGUGAAACUCUGUAGUUUUCAUAGCUCAAUACUUAGCACCACGGCACUUCCAAGGUAGAGAAUACACAACGUGGGUCUCGUGUGGGCGGCCAUAUGGCUUCUGCAGGACCAUGGAACUUGGAAGGGUCAAACAGAGAAUAUAUCAAAAGACAUUAGGAGUACAUGACGGAUGAGCAGAACCGCUCAAACAAAAAACUCAGAAAUUCGAGCAAAAUAAAAACAACAGCAGGAAGAAAGAACAAAAACAGGACAGCUGCACAUUUCUAAAGCAUGACCUUGUUUGCAGAACACAGCAGAAGCAAAAAAGCAGUGAAGGCUGAACUGCAGGUGCAAGAAGAGAGCUGAGGCCGCACAGAUAAAAACAGUACACAACCAUGAAGCAUACAUUAAAUAGGCCGUUACCACAGAGCAGUGAACAUAGAACAACGAUCAAGACCAAGCUUGCCGAGAGAGUCAGCAAAAGAAUUACCUUCUCUCAAGACAUUGAUAUAAGAAACAUUACCAAUAGUUCGAGAAAGAUAAUCAAUUUCGUUGAAAAUCUGCCAUAGUUUCCAUGGUCUUUGACGAACAUCAGAAACCCAAGAAAGAGCUACUUUAGAAUCAGAUUCAAAGAGAAGCUGAGCUCCGAUAUAUUGAGAAGCAGAAAAAAGGCGAAGAGCAUGAAGGAUGGCCAUGAGCUCAGCAUAAUUUCUUAACACACCUCCACAUCCAGAGGGACUAGGCUUACCUCAAGCAGAUCUGUUAACAUUGAAUUUAAAACAUCCUUCCAACUGAGGCUACCAUGACGAGAUAGAGCGAGAGCUGAAAGAAGGAUGCAAAAAGUGAAUAACAGACAAAUCAGCAUGAUAACUCUAUGAAAUAGAGUUACUUGAGGUUAAUUUUAAUAGUAAUUUAGUUUAGUUCUUGUGGUAAUACAUAAAAAUUAAUAAGUUUUAUUUAAAUUACUAUAAAUUAAUUAAUUUAGAUGAGUCAAUCUUAUUUUAAUUAAUUUUAUACUUAAUUUGGUGUUAAUGUGAUUAAAAUAGGUUAUUAUUGAUUUAUUCUUAUUUUUAUAAGUGUUUAAUGAAAAAAGAAUUUUAAUAAAAAAAGAAGAGUAAUUUUGAAGUGCAAACUUUCACUACACAUAUCUCGGUAAUUCACCCAUAACUUUCUCUACAGAAUUUCAAAUGAGAUGAUUCUUGGAACAUUGGAAAGAUAAGAGAAAAAGCUACAACUUUCACAUAUACCACUUCACCCAUAUGUGUUUGUCCGGCCUAUUUUUCACAAAAAUAACUGAAGAUAAUUUAGCAAGAAUCUCAUUAUAAGAAUCUAAUUCUCAAGAGUGAAGGGUUCGCCUAAAGGAAAUAUUCCAAGAGCCAUCAAUCCAUGCAUCAAAAACUCUACCUUCUUUGUUCAAAGCUAGGGAAAAUAGGCGAGGGAACCUGGAACAAAGAGUGUCACUAUCAAACAUCCACCUAUCCAACCAUAAAUAAAGAGUCACCCCAUUGCCAAUACACCAUUGACAAGCUGAGAAGCCAACUAAAUCUACCACCUUGUCGUUAGUGGGGAGUUGUGUAAUACAUUUCCAAACGAGAGGCAUCUUAUUAGAGUGAGAAAUGGUUGGAAUCCAAUGAACUCUGCCAGCCCCAUAUUUUUGAACAACCAAACACUGUCAUUUGAGUUUAAUGUCUUUCAACUAAUUGUCAUUUGAACCAGUGAUUAAUAAAUCAUCUACAUACACUACAUACAACUGAUAAAUUGCUAACGCGCUCAAUUUUAGCUCUAAAUCAUCCCAAUCUCUCUCCAACAUUUCUAACCAAUAAAUAUCAGCCAAUAACCUUCUAAAACAACAAAAUCAGCUCACUCCCUUCUUGGAAAAUUCGGCCAAAAAUAUGACAUUAACUCGGUUAAUUUUCACUUUGUUUUUCUAUCACAUUUAACCAUUUUUCAUUAUUUUCUCUUCAUUUCUCUUAGAAUAAAAAUUAGUUCAUCAUCAUUGUACAUCACUNNNNNNNNNNNNNNNNNNNNNNNNNNNNNNNNNNNNNNNNNNNNNNNNNNNNNNUUUCUUGCCCAAUUUAAUUUCUAAACACAUUUAACUAACUAAAACUAUCAAUUUAACUAAAAAUCAAAACCUAAAAAUUUCAAUUUCUCUCCCCUAGAAUUUCGUCCAGCCCUUGAUAUCACUUUUUGAUCUCUCUCCUCAAGCAUGUUAAAUGGAAAUAAAGGCAUAGGAAAGGUAGAAAUCAAGCUAAAAUCGAAAACUCUUACCGUUAGACGCGUAAACGGUCGAAAACCGCGAAUUUCCCUUUGAAUUUUCUUGUUUCUCUUUGGUUUUUCUUUUUUUCUUCCUUUCCUCUCUAUUUCCUCUCUUGUUCUUCUUUAUGGCCGGCCAGCACUCAAAAUUUGGGUUUAAAUGGGCUGACUUUUUAUUAAAAUAAUAUUAUUUCAUUUAAAAAAUGCCACGUGUCACCUUCCCAUUGGCCCAUUUUUAAAAUUUCAUCCAUUUGUUUCCAAAUUUUCACCAUACACUUGUCCCACAUAUCCAUAGCUUAGAUAAAAUUCUCAGACUUAUCCAAAGUCUUGGUGGAGUAAUUUUUAAAAUUUACACUUUUGCCCCCGUAAAAGUGAAAAAUUACAUUUUUGCCCAAAAAACUGAAAAAUUGCCCAUAGACAUAUUUUUCAUCCCUUAUACUCAUACCAUUCUCCAAUUUGUCAAAUUUGAUCUAAAUUCUCUCACAAUCUCAAAUUUUGUCUGUGGGUGGCAAAAUUACGAUUUUGCCCCUACACUCCAAAAUCACCAGAAUUAAACUUUUUCACUUCCUAUCAUUAAAUUAUACUCCAAAUAGUUAAUCUUGGUCAAAAAUUUCACUCCAUGAUCAAAUUAUUAUCUUAGGUGGCAAAAUGACGAUUUUACCCUUAAAUAUCAAAAUUUCUAAUUUUACCCCAAAUGAACCCUCGAACUCCGAACAAUCAUUUUUAGUCAUUCCUGCACUAUUAAAUAUUAAAUUUCAUCCUAAAAUUCCUAUUUGAACUAGUUCGAGGUUAAAUCAAUUUAAGUGUACCGUUAGGUACAAUAUCAGGUUUCGUCUAUUCUUAGGUGCUUUUCUAGCGUAAUAACAUGCUACUCAAUGCAUGUAUGUCAUGACAUGUAUUUAUAGGGUCGGGUUUUACAGUUUGUUACCAACAGCCAAGUGAAUAAUCUCAUCAAUUUUUUAUGAACAACUUGUAUUAAUAAGAAUAGUAACCUGCUCCACUAAAAAAAAAAAAAAACAGCUUUUAUCAACGAAAUCCAUUCCAUCUAUAAAAAUUCAACUGUAAUUACCAAUGAAACAAGAUUGUAAGGAAUACUGAUGAAAUGAAAUCCGUCAGUAUUUCGUCGAUAAUUUAAUUACAUGAAUGAACAGUAAGAUGGUACAAAAUUUACAGAUCGAAUCUAUCGGUUUGGUAAUAGGUUACCAACAAAAUUUGCCGACCAUGUUAGUGACUAAUUACCUUAUCAGUAAUGUGGUAAGACAUUGGUCAGCUUACUGACAGAAUUCUCAUCAGUAUUUAUUUUUUAAUUAAUGACGAAAGAUUUCGACGGUGAUUUAGCUUAUAAUAAAUCUUAAAAUCUAUAUGCCAAAUUUUCCAUCCCAUUUAUCCCUAUUUUAAUUACCAAUGAAAGAUUCUGUCAAUUAUUUCAUCGAUAAUUAAAAUAAAAAUCCACACGUCUGAUUUUUUUCCUCAUGUAUCCUUAUUUUAAUUUUUGAUGAAAUCUUCUGUCAGUGAUUUUGUCAAUAAUUAAAAUAAAAAUCUACACGCGAGAUUUUUUUCCCCAUUUAUCCCUAUUUUAAUUACUGACAGAAUCUUUUGUCAGUGAUUCCAUCAAUAAUUAAAAUAAAAAUCCCCACGUGGGAUUUCUUCCCUCAUUUCUCCCUUUUCUCUUCUCUCCCUUCUUCUCUGAACAUGGCUUCUUCUAUCUGUUUAGUUUGCUACUGCUGGACUUCAUUAUAUCUUGUUUGCUGGCAUGCUUGGAGUCGCUAUACCUUCCUUUUUAUUAAACUUCCUUUUUCAAGAAAGAAGACAAAGUCUAAUUCUGAAAAAUCAUGUAUUAGUAAUUAAUCAAUUAAAAAAUUACUUAAAUUAGUAAUUUAACAAAUCAAAUGAUAAUAAUUAAUCAAUUCAAAAUGUAUGAGUAAAUUUAGUAAAAUUUAAAUGUAUUUACAUUUAUUAAGGUUAUAUUAAAUCAAUUAAAUAAUUUAACUAAUCAAAUGAAAAAAGUUUUAGUAGCUAAGCAAUAACCUAAAUUAGUAAUAUUAAUUAAUUUUAAAAAUAUUUAAAUAAAUUAAGGUGUUUAAUGAGGUAAUUAAAUAAUUUAGUUAAUUAAGUGUUUAGGGUUUAAAUGUAAUUAAGGAAUUAAUUAAAUUAGAAAUAUUAUAUAAUAUUAUGUUUUAUUUACAUUAAUUAAGCGUUCUAGGGAAUUAAUUACAAAAUUCAACUAAUUCUGAAGAAUCAUGUAUUAGCAAUUAAUUAAUUAAUUAAAUUAGUAAUUUUACGAAUCAAAUGAUAGUAAUUAAUCAAUUCAAAAUGUAUUAGUAAAUUUAGUAAAAUUUAAAUGUAUUUACAUUAAUUAAGAUUUUAUUAAAUUAAUUAAAUAAUCUAACUAAUCAAAUGAAAAAAGUUUUCAUAGUUAAGCAAUAAACUAAUUCUAGUAUUUAUUUGGAUUUUGUUUUCGAUUUAUGUUUGUGUUAAAAUCUGAUAAUGGACAACAUCAUAUGUCUGUUAUAAUCUUUUUCUCAUAAUGAAAUGAGAUAGAAAUUAGAUGUAUUCCCAAGUUGAUUCAAGUGAAUUUUUUAGGACAGAAUUUGUGAAUGUCAUAGAUGAAUUUAUUUCUUUUGCGUUCAAUCAACCAAGAUACGUGACUGAGAAUAAAAUCAAAUGUCCUUGCUCUCGGUGCAUGAAUAGCAAGUUCUUCAUUGCUUAUAAGGUUUGAGAACACCUAUUUCGUAAAGAGUUUACCAAUGCAUACACAAUAUGGGGUUGCACAUGGCGAAUCAUUCCAUGCUAAGCAAUGAUCGUGACAUUUUGUUGGUGAGCGGAAUGAAGUUGUUAAUGAAUUUAGAGUAGAAAAUCCAUAUGCUGAAAUGGUUAUGGAUGCUUUACUAUCGGAGUUUUAGUUCAAUGAUAAGAUCCAUGAUGAACCAAUCUUUCCAGAAGAUCCAAAUCCAAACGUUGCGUCAUUCUUUUUGUUGUUGAAUGAUGUUGAUGCAACUUUGUGGGUCGAAUGUGAGAAGCACACAAAACUGUUAGUUAUGUCCCAAUUACUAAAUGUGAAGUUAGAACUUAACAUGAGUGAGACAUGCUUUAAUCGUCUGAUGUAGCUAAUGAAAGGGAUGUUGCUAACCGAUGAAGCAUUGCCGACAAACCUUUAUAAAAUGAAGACACAAUUGAAAGAACUUGAGCUCGGCUAUCAAAAUAUCAUGCAUGUAAGAAUAAUUGUGUGUUGUUUUAUAAUGAAUAUUCCGAGUUGCCUUAUUGUCUAUCCUGUGGUCAUUUUCAGUAUAAACCAAAUAAAUCAAAAGGAAGAAAGGAGAAAAAAAUUCGUUAGGGAAAAUUGUAAAACACAUGACAUGGCAUGCCACACACCAAUCUAAUGAUGGAGUGCUAAGGCAUCUUGUUAAUGGUUAAGCAUGGCAACAUUUUAAUCGCACCCAUUAGUUUUUUGCUUUUAAGCCACACAGCGUCAAACUCUGUUUAUGUUCAGAUAGUUUUUGUCCAUUCGAACCAACAACGAAACCGUAUUAUGUUUGGCUUGGAAUAUUCACUGUCUAUAACUUACCUCUAUGGAUGUGCAUGAAGCAACCGUAUGUCUUUCUUAGUAUAGUCAUCCCAAAGAGGACAAGUCCCAUACAGAACAUUGAUGUGUUCCUCCGACCUUUCAUAGAUGACUUAAAAGCUCUAUGUGAUGAAGGAUUGGUCACGUAUGAUGCCUUUACUCACCAAAUUUUUUUCUAUGAGCAACAGUCCUAUAAACCAUUAAUGAUUUCCCUACAUAUGAUAUGUUGUUUGUUUGAGGCACUCAUGAACGUUUAUCAUGUCCAUAUUGCAUGGAAUAUGGAAAGAGUUUCUUUUUGGAGUACGAGAAUAAGGCUUGUUUUUUUGUUGUCAUCAACAAUUCUUGUCGAUGGAUCAUCCUUUUCAUCGCCAAAAAGAUAAAUUUAAGAAACGUGUUAAACGGGACCCUCCAAUUCUUUGGUUAUCCAAUGCAGAGAUCUUAGAACUAUUGGAGUCAAUUCCAAAUAUCAUGUGUGGGACAAAUGUGGGAGACCAGAAAUUAUCGAGUUUUGAUCAAACCCAUAAUUGGACUAAGAACAUAUUUUAGAAGUUGUCGUAUUGGCAGACAAAUCUCAUUCGUCACAACUUGGAUGUGAUGUAUAUUGAGCGUAGUAUAUUUGAAAAUAUAUUCAAUACGAUGAUGGAUAUUCCAACGAAAACGAAAGACUAUAUCAAGGCUCGCCGUGAUUUGGAGUUGUAUCGCAAGCAUUAGGAAUUGCACUUAAUUGAAAAUAACAAUAAACUUUUUAAACUGAAAGCUUCAUACACUUAAUUGAAAAUACAAUAUGGAGAAGAAUUUUAGUAUGUCAGAUCUUGGCUUAAUGAAUUAUUUUCUUGGAAUAUAAAUACGCCAAACAAACAAAGGCAUUUUUGUAUCACAAGGAAAUUAUAUCAAGAAAAUUUUCAGCAAAUUUCACAUGAGCAAUUGCAACUCAGUUUCCUUUCCUUUUGUUGUGAAUCAGAAAUUUACUACUAAUGAUGGUUGCAAGCCUAAAGAUGCUUCAAAUUUCAGAAGUCUAAUUGGAAGUCUGUUGUAUGUUUACUCUACUCGUCCAGAACUAAUGUACUCAAUAAGUCUACUAUCCAAAUUUAUGAAUGAACCUACUGAUGUUCAUUUUGCAACUACUAAACGUAUCCUUAUACAUCUUAUAGGCAGCAUCAGUUAUGGCAUAUACUUUGGCAAAUUGAAGGAAAUAAAUUUGGUCAGAUACUCAGAUAGUGACUAGGUAGGUAGUGUUGAGGACUCCAAAAGUACUACUGGUUAUACAUUCACUUUUGGCAAUGGAGUGUUUACCUGGAAUUCACACAAGUAAUGUGUUGUUGCUUAGUCAUCUACUGAGGCAGAGUACAAGGCAGCCAAUGCAGCGGCCAAUCAAGCAAUGUGGUUGAGGAAUGUCUUAAAUGACUUAACCUUUGUGCAACAGUCUCCAACAAGUAUAUUAGUUGAUAGCAAGUCUGUAAUUGCCAUCACAAAAAAAAUUCUGUGUUUCAUAGCAAGACUAAGCAUAUCAAGGUAAAAUUUAAUGCUAUAAGAGAGGCUGAAAGGAAUGGUGAAAUCAUCCUAGAACAUUGAUCUUUUGUUAAUCAAUUGGCAGGCAUCAUGACUAAGACUCUGCCUAAACCCAAGUUUGAAGCCUUUAGAACCAACAUGCAUGUGUGUUGUUGAUGUAGGCUUCAAGGAAGAGUUUUGUUAGGAUAGUCUUGAAUUGUGAUUUAAUUAGGUUUGUUUAAUUCUAAUUAAAUUAGUAUACUUUACAAAAUAGUCUUUAAAUCUAGUUAAACUAGAAUAACAAUUCCUAAUUUUAUUAGGAUAAGAUUCCUAAUUGUAUUAGGAUAAGGUUAUUGUAUUUGAUACUAUAAAAUGACCCUAUGGGUUAAAGAAUAAAAUCACCUAGAUUUAGAGAGAGUGAUUUAGGUGUAAGUGGGAUAAGGGUUAUGAGUUUAAGACUGUUUCUUGUAAUCUCCUGAUUUUUCUCUUAGUGGAUUUUUCUCUGUUACUGUGCCCGUGGACGUAGGGCAUCAAAAGACCGAACCACGUAAAUUCUUGCGUUCUUGUGAGUUUGCUUGAUUUCUUUCUUUCUUUAUUCUUUUGAUUGGGUUAGAUCUUGGGCAAUUCUUUAGAGAUAAUUCCGCAAUUUCCCAACAAACUGGUAUCAGAGCUUCAAGGUCUUGGGUCAAUCUGAAUCUCGCUAUGGCAACUUCGUCGAUCAAGUAUGAGAUUGAAAAGUUUAAUGGAAGAAACUAUUUCAGCCUGUGGCGUGUUAAGAUGCGCGCAUUGCUAGUGCAACAAGGACUGUUGAAGGCACUGAAGGGAAAAGAGCAUCUUCCCUCGAAUUUAUCUGAUGGUGAGAAAGAUGACCUUAUGGAAAAAGCACAUAGUGCUAUUCUCCUUGCUUUGUCUGAUGAGGUGCUAAGAGAAGUCACGGAUGAAGAAUCUGCUGCUGCAGUGUGGUUUAAACUCGAAAGUAUUUAUAUGACCAAGUCCCUGACGAAUCGGCUUUAUAUGAAGCAACGAUUGUAUACUCUCAAGAUGAGUGAAGGUACGUCCGUUAAUACCCACAUUGAUGAAUUUAAUAGAGUUAUUCUUGAUUUAAAGAAUAUCGAUGUUAAAAUUGAGGAUGAGGACCUAGCCCUAAUUCUUUUAUGUUCUUUGCCUCCAUCGUAUGAAAAUUUCGUGGAUACUAUGCUUUACGGCCGAGACACUCUCACUUUCGAGGAUGUAAGGGCAUCUUUAAAUUCCAAGGAAUUAAAGAAGAAAGUUGGUGGUAUUCGGAAUGAAAAUCAAGCAGAAGGUUUGGUUGUAAAUAGAGGUAGAGGUAAAGAGAAAGGCUUAGACAGAAAAGGUAAAUCUAGAGCAAAAGGGAAAACUUGCUGGAAUUGUGGUCAGAAAGGGCAUUUUCGUCAAGACUGUAUCAAAUUCAAGGAUGAUGAAAAGUUUAAUAAGUCUGAGAAUACUGCAAACGUGGUUGGAGAUGACUUUGAUACUUUUGAGGAAACUGAUAAUGUUCUUGCAAUUACUAAUUGUAACCUGAUGGAUACAUGGAUCUUGGAUUCGGCUUGUUGCUUUCAUAUAUGUCCUAGGCGUGAUUGGUUUACAACUUAUCAAUCUGUUAAUAUGGGCACUGUACAAUUAGGAGAUGAUUUCUCUCUCUCAGUUGUUGGAAUUGGCACAAUUAGAAUCAAGAUGUUUGAUGGUAUGGUAAGAACACUUGAGGUAAAACAUGUCCCUGACAUGAAAAAGAAUUUAAUAUCCUUGAGUUUGUUAGAUAAGAAGGGCUACAAAUAUAGUGGCCAAGAUGGUGUCUUGAAUGUAUCUAAAGGAGCCUUAACUAUCAUGAAGGGCAAGUUAUCCGGUGACCUUUAUUGUCUAGUGGGAAACACGGUCAUUGAAACUGUUUCUGUGGUCUCAUCUAAUGAUCCUGAAGAUGAUGUAACACGUUUAUGGAAUAUGAGAUUUGGUCAUAUGAGCGAGAGAGGGAUUAGAAAACUAAGUAAGCAUAGUUUGCUGUGUGGUCAAAAGAGUGGAAAGCUAGAUUUCUGUGAGCAACAUAGAGUGAAAUUUAGCACUAAAACUCAUCAAACCAGGGGUACAGUAAACUACAUCUAUUUAGAUUUGUGGGAUCCUUCUCCGGUGGUAUCAAAAGGUGGAUCAUUAUACAUGUGGAUCUUUAUUGAUGAUUUUUCAAGAAAGGUGUGGACGUAUCUUCUAAAGGCUAUGAGUGAAGUGUUAACCACCUUUUUGCAUUGGAAGGUAUUGAUCGAGAAGCAGACUAAGAAAAGGAUCGAGAGCUUUCGAACAAACAAAGGUUUGAAAUUUUGCAAAUGUGAGUUUGGUCUAUUCUACAAGAAUGAGAAAAUCGUUAGACAUCGCACUGUCGACAAAACACCAUAUCAAAACGAUAUUGUAGAAUUGAUGAAGAAAACACUUUUGGAGAGAGCAAAAUACGUGUUCUCAAAUGUUGGCCUAACCAAAGUAUUUUGGACAGAAGCUAUCAACAAGGCUUGUUACUUGGUAAAUCGGUCUCCAUCAACUGCAAUUGAAUUUAAGACUCCCAAGGAAGUUUGGUCUGGUAAGCCUGCUGAUUAUUUUAUAUUGAGAGUAUUUGGUUGUCCUGUUCAUGUUCAUGUGAGUGAUGGUAAACUUGAGUUGAGGGCGACAGAGUGCAUAUUCCUAGGCUAUGCAUAUGGGGUGAAGGGUUAUUGGUUGUGGUGUACUGAUUGUAAGUUCCCCAAGUUUAUGGUGAGUCGGGAUGUUACCUUUGACAAGUCUGCAUUACUUUGUGGGAUAAAGUCUAGAAUUGCAAACACAUCAGACCAAGAAGUUGGCAAGCAGGUGGAGCUUGAAAUCAAUGCUCUUGUGACAGUGCGAGAUGAUAGUGAAAUCCAGAAAGAAUUGCAAGAGGUACAAGAAUUGGUAUCUCAACGAAGCAUUACUUGUAUUGAUGGUGAUUUUGAUUCUUAUGUUUUAUUUGUGGAAGUAGAGAUUGAAGAGCCUUACUUUUAUCAUGAGAAAAUUAUAUAUGUCGAGUCUUCUAAGAAGAUUGAGUCUCUACACUGGGAUCAAACAUGGGAGCUUGUGAAAACACCUAAAGUUACUAUUGAAGUUGGCUUAGUGUGUGAAGGAGGUGCAAACAUUAGUCGUAAUGUGGUUGGCUUCUCCAAAUCAGAUUUUGCUGGUGAUCUAGAUAGUAGAAGAUCUCAAACGGGGUAUGUGUUCACUCUCUCAGGAUCUGCAAUCAGUUGGAAAGCAGUUCUUCAAUCAACCUUUGCUUUGUCUACAACUGAAGCUGAAUAUAUGGCUGUGACCGAGGCAGUGAAGGAGGCUUUGUGGCUUAAAGGCUUGGUUAGUGAUCUUGGUUUUGAACAAACACAAACAGUUGUGUUUUGUGAUAGUCAAAGUGCUAUACAUUUGACUAAAAAUCAGAUGUUUCAUGAGAGAACCAAACACAUCCAAGUCAAGUGUAACUUCGUUCGAGAGAUUAUUUCUAAAGGUGAGAUUGUAGUAAAGAAAAUAGCUACAGAUGAAAAUCCGGCAGAUAUGCUAACUAAGUCAGUUUCUGGGAUAAAGUUCAAGCAUUGCUUGGACUUGAUCGGUGUUCGUAGUGCUUGAGGCCCUUUGGGGCAGUGGCGGUGUCGACAGAGAUUGGUUCGUAAGGUGGAGCUUGGUGAAUUCAAGCCUAAGGUGGAGAUUUGUUAGGAUAGUCUUGAAUUGUGAUUUAAUUAGGAUUGUUUAAUUCUAAUUAAAUUAGUAUACCUUAUAAAAUAGUCUUUAAAUCUAGUUAGAUUAGAAUAACAAUUCCUAAUUCUAUUAGGAUAAGAUUCCUAAUUAUAUUAGGAUAAGGUUAUUGUAUUUGAUACUAUAAAAGGACCCUAUGGGUUAAAGAAUAAUAAUCACCUAGAUUUAGAGAGAGUGAUUUAGGUGUACGUGGGAUAAGGGUUAUGAGUUUGAGACUGUUUCUUGUAAUCUCCUGAUUUUUCUCUUAGUGGAUUUUUCUCUGUUACUGUGCCCGUGGACGUAGGUCAUCAAAAGACCGAACCACGUAAAUUCUUGUGUUCUUGUGGGUGUGCUUGAUUUCUUUCUUUCUUUAUUCUAUUGAUUGGGUUAGAUCUUGGGAAAUUCUUUAGAGAUAAUUCCGCAAUUUCCCAACAAGUUUAAAUAAAGGCGGAGGGGCGGGGGAGCCAGUCGCCCCCCCACCCCAACAAUUUAAGAAAUUAUAUAAGUUACUCUUUUUUAAAAAAAUUUAAUAAUUUCAUCCCUACAAAAAUUUGAAAAUCUUUUUAACAUAUUUUGAUUUUUUUAGAAUUUUAUAAUUUUGUCUCUACAAUAAUUUUUUAUUUGAUGAAAUGUCCCAUAACAAUUAGUUAACAGCUAAUUUUAAUAGGACUAAAAUAAUAACUAUUGCAAUAGAAUUAUUCCCAAACCCUACUCAUCCAAAACCUCACAACCACCCUCUCUUGUUCUCUUUUCUUUUUACCAAAACCCAUAAAAAUAAAAAUAAAAAUUUCUAUUUCACUUUUUUGCUUGCCAGCAUUCUCUGUGUGGAAUACUUCUAAUUCGGUAACUCAAUUUUUAUCUGAUGAUAAUGGGUAAGUUUGAUUUAUUUACUUAUUUUAUUUUUAAUAUUUUCAACUUUAAAUUUUUUCUUUAUUUAAUAAUUUCUACUUGGUGAUUUUGAUUUAGGAUUUACCAUCUUAAUAAUUUUUUGUUGAAAACAACAAAAUAAAGAUUUGAUUAAGCACCUAACGUUAGUUAUUACUUAUUUAUUUAGGCAUUGUUUGAUUGCUCUCCUACAAAUUACUUGUGUUUUUUUUAUUUGCUAAGAUUCUUGUGAACAAUUAAGUUUUUUAUUCAAGAUUGCUUCCUCAUUGAGUUGUUUAUUGAUAUUGCAUUAAUUUUUAUGAUUAAUUUUAGAGAAUUGCUUCCCAUUGAAUUAUUCAUUGAUAGCCCUUAAUAUUUUUUAAUGAAAUGCUUUCUAUCGAGAUUUUUGUUAUUAUAUUUGUUAAUUUUUGUUUGUUGUUAAGUUUAUCUAGAAAUUGAGAUUAUUUUCAUAUUAAAUUAUUUAUAAUUAUACUAGUUAAUUCUUUUAAGUAAAUUAUUAAGAUUGAUUCUUUGAAUGAUUUUUAGAAUUUAUUUGUAUAAUUUUCAUAUGAAUUUUUUUUUCAUUUAAAUUGUUUUCUAUUGUCUUCGGCUCUUCGCCCCCCAAACACGAAACCUUGACUCCGCCACUUAAUGUAAAGCUAGCUUUUAAUAAGCGGGUGGACUUGUUUUUGUAUUUGGUUUGUUGUACUGGUUAUUAAGGAUAAUGUACCUUAAUCAACAAGUGUUAACCAUGUGUGGUUCAUAUUUAAGGUUGUAAAUGGUUGUUCAUGAAUGAAGAACUUUGAUUUCAUCAAUCUUUGCUCUCUGCUUUUCUUUCCUUUGCUGCAGAGAACUUGUACUUCUUUCUCUUUGGAUUUGUGACAGCUCGCACUUUCUUGUUACUAGAGCAAAAUACAACAAAGAAAGUACAUACGUGGGAGAUGUCCUUUAAUGUCUGGCUGCAGAUGUUCUAACCAUUGAGAUGCAAGCUGGCGGGUGAAAAACAAUGUGUCACUCAUAUCAGUUAAGUCAUUCGUUUCUCCAUUACAGCCACCAAAGAAACAUAAAUCAUCUUUAACAACUGAGAAUAGUUGAUUCAAGAUAUUUAGUUUUACUGUACAGACAACAGCAAACAUCGGGUAUCUAAAUCUUGCUUCAUUGCCAUGUUUUUAUCAUGUACAAAGAUGAAUAAGCUUCUGGCCAUCACUCUACUAUUAUCUUUUCAACAUCUAAUCGUUAUUAUACCAACUAUUCUGACACUUUUCAAGGAUGUUCUGAAAUAAAGAUUUAAAUAACAUAUACAAAUUCAAGAAGAAAAGGAUUUGUUAUAGUAUAUGUGUCAGUGGGUACCUUAUAUACUUAUAAUGAUGAUGUUUCUAAUUCUUUUCUAUUUUUGUAACUAUGUAUUGUGAAUCUAGUCAUUGCACUGACAUCUGGUGCAUCCAAUGUAAGUUUCUUUGAGUUGAGCUGUAUAUGUUUACAUUUGACAAAUGUAAAAUCUGUAAGAAACAAUUGUUCUUAUCCUUAACCAUCGGAAUCUCCCUCCUGUUUGAAAGUUAUCUCCAAGAAGGAUGAAAAUCCUGAAAAGGUAAAUACUUUUGUUGUAAAGUUACACCUACUACUCCGAAUGCAAAGUCCAAAUGAGGUACACAUGUAUGAUUAUGAAAAAGAAAAGAGGGAAAUUAUGAGAGAUAACUUUUUUCAUAAGUUUAAUUUAAAAAUAUCAUUUAUUAUCAUUUUUAGUCAAUUUUUUACAUAACUUGACAACAAUGCCUUUUAAAUAAUUUUAAACAAAUUAAAAUGGUUUUAAUUUUCUCGAUCCCGCCAUCUAGAUAAAAAUUUUAAAAUUAAAUCUCGAUUUCUCUCUCUUACCAAAUACUGUUUAUUUCGCCUUCCAGCUCUUUCUAGCCAUCCCGAAUAGCAUAGAUAACAUCAAGCUCUUUCUUAUUUUGCUUUAUUUUUUGGAUAGUGUAUCUUGGGGUUCUCAAGGGCAAUGAAUAGCGAUUUUACUCUUUUAUAGUGAUUGCAGUAAGCAUGAUGAAUGUGGUAACUGGAUGCUUUCUAGUGAUGACUUGCUUCAAAACGUGUGCUGCAAUGGAAAUGCUUGUGUUGAUGAGUUAGAUCAGAUUGGUUAAAAUGAUGAACUCCAGGAGAAAGAACAGCUAAAGUAUGUUUAAUGGGUUUUUAUGGUGGUUCACGGUUUUGUUGUAUUUGAGAUUGAGAUGAUUGUUAAGCAUGUUUGUUAGAGAUUUUGUUUCUUUUUAUGAGAUUUUGAGUUAGAAUUGUUCAGGGAAUAUUUUGUAAAUGGAGUAUAUUUUAUUUUUGCACAAGGUGAGUGAGCAAGGCCCUUCCGAUAGGGAUAUAUUUUGUCUUGCUUCAGAGGGUUAUGGAAUUUUGUAACCUCUCUUUUAUGAAAUGUACAAUUUCUUGGCUUAGCAAAAACAAAAAAAAAGUAUGUGUUUUAAGUUCUUAAGUUUAUUGGUUUAUUCAUAAAACCCUAAAGAUGAGGAGUUGAAAUUGAUUAAACAUAUUUGUACAUUAGAAUACUGUAUGACUUUGACAACUUAAACCUAGCUGUGAGCAGGCAAAUCAAUUGGUUAUUAGAUAUUGCAUUAUUGGUUUUUAGACAUUGUGUCACUAGUUUUUUAAAUAUUGCGUAACUGGUUUUAGGCAUUGCAUGAUUAAUUUUAGACAUUGCGUGACUGAUUUUUAAGCAAUGUAUAAGUCACGCAAUGCCUUAUUAACAAGUCACGCAAUGCCUUAUUAACUAGUCACGUAAUUCCUAUCAACUAGUCAAGCAAUGUCAUAUCAACCAGUCACACAAUACUUAAAAAUCAGUCACGCAAUGUUUAAAAAUUAGUCACGUAAUAUCUACAAAUUAGUCAUGUAAUACCUAAAAAUUAGUAAUGUAAUGCCUAAAAACUAGUCAAACAAUGUCCAAAGACUGAUUACGUAAUGUCUAAAAAUUACCAAAACUACUGUAUUUUAUUUAACAAAAACAAUAAUUUCAAACAAUACACCAUAUUCCAUCUAACAACAUAAUUAAUGAAUAUGCCUACUUGAUGAAAAAUACUCAAAAUGCUUAAAGGUUUUUCUUCAUGUAUCAAAAAUCACUCCAAACUGCUUAAAAAUGCUCAAAAAGUUUUUUUUCGUGCAUAAAAAACUAUUUCAAAAUAUUUAAAAUGCUUAAACGUUUUUCUUUCUGAUAAGGAAUACUCCAAAGAUGAAUGGUCUAACGACAAAAGCUCAAAGAAUAUGAGUCGGUUUGAGACACGGACCUAAACAUAUGGGUCCGUUUCAUUAAAGAUAGUUUUGUUCAAAAUUAAUUUAUCUUGGUUAAAAAUAGUAAAAUUAUAAAGAAAACUAUUUUUGAAAACACUUUACGUAUGAGAGAUAUUUUUGAAAAGAUUUCAAAAGAGAAAUUAAUGAAAAGGACCUUCUCCAUUAUGUAAACUUGGUUCCGCUUACUUUGUUUCAUUCCAAGGACAAGUUGAGAAAAAUUUUCCAUUGUCACCCAAUUAGAGCUAUUCUCUCCCUAGAUACUAUCAACUUUCUUCAAACACGAACGAAGCCUUGCUUUCAGCCAUGGAAAAUAGUUCCUCAAAAAAUGUUACCUUUUCAUUGUUGUCAUGGGGCUUGCUUUAUUUUGCUACCUCUAGACUUGUUUCUUUUCAUUCACCGUUUCUCUUCGUGAUCCUCAUUAUAUUCCUUUUUGUUGUCAAAGCAAAGGGCAAAGCCAGCAAAACAAAGAGCAACCAAGCAUCUCUCCCUCCAGGCCCAACUCCCUGGCCAAUCAUUGGAAACCUUCCGGAGAUAUGGAUAAAGAGGCCAGCCUUUCGGUGGAUUCAUGGCCUUAUGAAAGAACUCCACACUGAUAUUCUUUGCGUCCGCCUUGCAAAUAUUCAUGUCAUCGCUGUCACUUCGCCUGUCAUUGCUCUAGAGUUUUUGAAGAAAAAUGAUUCAGUUUUUGCAUCAAGGCCUGUUACGAUGGCAACCGAGUACUCCAGUCGAAGAUUCUUGACAAUAGCUGUGGUUCCGUGGGGAGAUCAAUGGAAGAAAAUGAGAAGGGUUGUAACCUGUGAGAUUCUCAGCACAUCCAAACUUCACUCUUUACUUGAGAACAGAACCGAAGAAGCUGAUAACCUUGUUAGGUUCAUCUACAACCAAUGCAAGAGCAAUGGCCAUGAUAAUUCCACCGCCUCAGCAGUCGUUAAUCUAAGACUUGCAAUGAGGCAAUACGGCGGAAAUGUCAUCAGGAAGAUGAUAUUCAACCGAAGAUACUUUGGGGAAGGUAGAAAAGAUGGAGGCCCUGGAUAUGAAGAAGAAGAGCAUGUGGAAUCACUCUUCACAGUGCUCAGGCACGCUUACUCUUUCAUCUUGUCAGACUAUAUACCUUGGUUGAGAUCAUUUGAUUUGGAGGGCCACGAGAAGACUGUUAGUAAGGCUAUGAAAAUUGUGAAUGAGUACCAGGAUCCCUUGAUUGACGAGAGGGUCCAAGAGUGGAGAGAAGGCAAGAGGACGGAGUCUGAAGACCUCCUUGAUGCCUUCAUUUUAGCCAAGGAUUCGAAUGGGAAGCCAGCUCUUUCAAUCGAAGAGAUUAAAGCCCAAUGCGCGGUGAGAUAAUCUAACCAUACAUACCUUUUCUGCCAUGUGUUUUUGGUCUGGUCAUAACAAAAACUAAUUUGAUUAGUUAUAGUAAUAGUAACAAUAUUUAUCAUCAAAUUUGUGUUUGGUAUUAGUCUGAAUAUUUUGUUUAUGCAGGAGUUAAUGCUUUCAACCGUAGACAAUCCUUCAAAUGCUGUGGAAUGGGCAAUGGCGGAAAUGAUCAACCAACCUGAAACUCUCCUGAAAGCAGUCGAGGAAAUAGAUGCUGUGGUCGGAAAAGAGAGGUUGGUUCAAGAAGCUGACAUUCCCAAACUCAACUACGUCAAAGCUUGUGCAAGGGAAGGCUUUCGUCUUCACCCCGUUGCACCCUUUAACAUACCCCAUGUUUCAACCGCCGACGCCACUGUUGCUGGCUACUUCAUCCCCAAAGGUAGUCACGUCUUGCUCAGUCGUUACGGCCUAGGCCGGAACCCCAAGGUUUGGGAUGACCCACUGAAGUUCAACCCUGAGCGCCAUUUGAAGGAUGGUUCCAUGUGCGUUGAUCUGACAGAGACAGACCUGAGGUUCAUUUCUUUCAGCACAGGGAGGCGCGGGUGCAUGGCCGUGGCUCUUGGGACUGCAAUGACCGUGAUGCUGUUGG
rnacentral:lncRNA from 1 species